rnacentral:lncRNA from 1 species
UAAGAAUUAUCCAUAAAGUUAUAAAAUUAUUUUUACGGAUUAAAUUAAAUCCAUGAUAAUAAGUGUAUAAACUAAAUCAAACCAACAACUUUUAUUUAUUAUCAAGUGCACAAAUCACACGGUGAUAGGAAACAAACAUCGAAACGAAACACAAACAUUAAGACAUGUUACAUUAGGACAGGAAACAGGCAUCCAAUCCCAAUGUUAGAUUAAAGAGAAAGAAACAAACUUUGGCAAUGGAAGCCUUAUUCGUAGCAUAUUAUAACACCAUUUAUUGAGAUGAGGCUCACGAGAAUGAAGGCUUGUUUAGUUCACAGGCAAAAUGCCAUUAAGAACAGACCAACCAUCAAGGAUAAGCUUGAUAUCACCGAUAAGAGUGUCAUCAUAUGUACCUGGGCUGAAUUUGAAACGCACAUACUUGUCUCCUUUGAAAAGGUAAGCUUCAGACUCCUUAUGAGAAGCAAAACACGCAUCGAUUCCACUUUCAAAGAUGGUACCAUUCAGAACAGGAAAGCCAUCAGCGAUGUUGCGAAUGCUGCCAACAAGCUGCUUGGAAUCAUAGUCUAUGCGAACAUACUUAGUGCCCUUGAAUAAGUAAACUUCUUUUCCUAUGGUGGAUCUAAGUGCAGAGUCUAUGCCAUCCGCAAACACCGUGUUUCUGAGGACAGGAAACAUUUGAGCAAUAGUGGUAGGACCUGCGAGUAUCUUGUCAUUAUGUGUACCUGGAGCAUAGUCUAUGUAGGCACAGAUGUUGCCGGAGAACACGUAUGCUUCACUCGCUUCAGUGUCAAAGGAAGCGUCUAUUCCAGGUUCUGCAAAUGGUGUUCCUGCAAGUGAUGGAAAACCACUACUAAUCAAGGUGAGAUUAGUUAAAAUCUCAUCAUAUCCUCCGGGAGUGUAUUUCAAGCGCACAUACUUGUUCUUGGCGAAGAAAUACACUUCAUAUUCUCUUGAUGAACGAAGUGCAGCAUUGAUAUAAGGGUCUGACAUCUUUCUCGACAAAAGAAGAGGAAGUAAUUGUAUAGAGAGAUAUGAUUUAAGGAUGCUUACAUUCCUCUCCGAUACACCUAUUUAUACUGUUGUGGAGUGGGAAUUUCUUUACUUGCCAUUACUUUAAUUUUGUCUAUUUUCUAAUACUUUAAUUAAUUAAAUAAUUUAUUAUAAUAUCUUAGCUGAAUAUAAUUAAUUAAAUAAUUUAUUAUAAUACUUUAAUUAAUUCGUUGCCCACUUAACAGAAGGCCAUGACAAGAAUUAAACGGAGAAUAUAUUGCAGAUAAUUUUGAAGAUAAUGAUAUAUAGACAACAUUUUUUUGACAACAUUUGAACAUUGAUUACGUGUCAAUUUGUGAUUGGUCAAAAAUUACUCCACAAUCACAAUCAUAAAUUGGAUAAUAACAAUAGUGUUUAUGAUUAUUAUUAUUGAUUGUGGAGUAAUUUUUGACCAAUCACAAAUUGACACGUAAUCAAUGUUCAAAUGUUGUUAAAAAAAUGUUGUCUAAAUAUCAUUAUCCAAUUUUGAAAGUGAUGGCGGGCUUAUGAAAACAAAUGUACGAUGUGAUUCUGUUAAUUGUUAAUUCCACUCGCACGUUGUCGUAAAGAAACAUAAAUGAUGGAGAAUGAGGAUGCAACAUUGUAUGGACGUAUCUGUACAUAAAGCACGUGACGAGAUGUGAUAUUGAUAAAAUCAAAUAGGCAAAAGCAAAUUUAAUAAUUGUCCUCUCUCUUGCCACUGAUAUUGAAAGCUACCACACCAUCCUAUACCCAAAGUUUUAAUUUACAUAUAUAACUGCAGAAUUAUCUAUAAAAAUACGAUUAAUUGGAAAUAAAUUUGCAUGCUUCAUUGUAUAUGAAUUUAUGAAUGUAAAACUAAGAAAAAACUGACCAUCAACAUAAUAAUAUUUUGUAUAUUUUCCAAGAAAUUAAAUAAAUAAUGAUGUUAAUCUUCUCAUCGAAAUGACAGACCUAUAUAUAUAAAUCUUGCUGUAUUUUCUCACGUGUUUGGGAACAGCUUUCAAUUUUUGUCCGGUUGUUUGUGGUCCAAUUUCUUAGCUUUUUAAGUUAAGUAUCGCUCAUCCUUUGAACCUUAACCCCUCCUAGUCUCAAUAAUUAUAACAUGCACAAAAGUUUUAUAUAUAUAUAUAUAUAUAUAUAUAUAUAUAUAUAUAUAUAUAUAUUAUAAUAAUAAUAACAUAAAUGAAGCUAUUUAUAAUUUUACUUAUAACCUAGAUAAUUUACUUUUAUUAAUAUCUCCACAACAAUCUAAAAGUGUUAAUCAUGUUUAUCAUAAAUUUGAAGGAGAAUGUCAUGUAUAAAAGUAAUUAAAAAAUGAUCUAAAAAUUAGAUGAAAACUUUUAUUUAUUAAUUUUUUUCUACUAAUAAAAUUUGUAGAAAAAUAUUAUAAUUUAUUUAUUUUUUCAUUAUCUUCCAUUGUCGUAUGUUCUCAGGUUUACUUUAUUAUUGUUAUUAUCGCCAUGUGGCGUGUCUUUAGCUCUUACUCAUCUUUUUUCAUUGUUGUUGUACUGUUGUCACUUUCAUUUUCGUGGUCACUCCUCUUCUUUUUCUCAUAAUUCUUCACUUCUUAUUUUCACAUACCUCUAUAUAGUUAUUAACAAAUAUUUUUAUUGAUAAUUAGUACUUCUUUUUGGAUAAUGUUUAUCUAUCUUCUCUGCAUUCCGUACUAUUUAAUCUGUAUAAAAUUUGUUUAAAUAUGUUUUAUGUUUUUUCUUAAAAAAAGUUUUUCUUCCUCCUCCAAAAUAGUGUCUUAAGAAAGUUAUAAAAAGUGAUCUCAUAAGUUUUGACUGCAUUUACACAAAUGUUCAUUUGAAAGGUACGUGGCAAUAAAAGAAAGUGAACACCUUUUUCACAUAAAUAUUUAGUUUUACGUACUAUCAACAACAAGGUGGUCCCAAACGUUCCACUACUUCUCAUACUUUUUCAUUCGAUUAUUGUUCUUGUAUAUUAAUGAAGGUGACAACAAGAAGCACAACACGUAAUUAUUGGCAGUAGACCUGUCAAAUAACUCCUUAUAAUAGGUCUUGGUUCUAGGUCAUGUGGAUUGGGGUCAAAAAAACCCUUAGGGCCAAAAAAGCUCUUUAUUAAAAAAGUUUUGAGGGUUAAAAAACUUCAAAGUCCUGUAGGUUAGGGUCAGCUCAUGGAUUUUCUUUUUUACAAAAAAAAAUAAAUAUCCAACAAUAAAUUGCAUUUUUCUAGAAAAAAAGAACAUUUAUGUUAAGUGUUAUAACUUGAAAAAUACAUGUAAGCAUACAUGUAAGCAUCUUUCUUUUACUUUAAUAAAUAUUUUUACAUAAUUAUUAAUUAGAAAAUAAUAAAUAGGAUUUCAUAUUUUUCAUCCCUAAAUUUGACGUUAAAUUGAAAUUAGUGUAUAUUAUAACCUUUCAAAAAUNNNNNNNNNNNNNNNNNNNNNNNNNNNNNNNNNNNNNNNNNNNNNNNNNNNNNNNNNNNNNNNNNNNNNNNNNNNNNNNNNNNNNNNNNNNNNNNNNNNNNNNNNNNNNNNNNNNNNNNNNNNNNNNNNNNNNNNNNNNNNNNNNNNNNNNNNNNNNNNNNNNNNNNNNNNNNNNNNNNNNNNNNNNNNNNNNNNNNNNNNNNNNNNNNNNNNNNNNNNNNNNNNNNNNNNNNNNNNNNNNNNNNNNNNNNNNNNNNNNNNNNNNNNNNNNNNNNNNNNNNNNNNNNNNNNNNNNNNNNNNNNNNNNNNNNNNNNNNNNNNNNNNNNNNNNNNNNNNNNNNNNNNNNNNNNNNNNNNNNNNNNNNNNNNNNNNNNNNNNNNNNNNNNNNNNNNNNNNNNNNNNNNNNNNNNNNNNNNNNNNNNNNNNNNNNNNNNNNNNNNNNNNNNNNNNNNNNNNNNNNNNNNNNNNNNNNNNNNNNNNNNNNNNNNNNNNNNNNNNNNNNNNNNNNNAAGUUUUGGAGUGAGACUAAAAUUUAAUUAAAGUUUUGGAGUGGGACUAAACCCACUUUAACCCUGACCCUAACCCACUUGAGAGGGGGUUUUGGGGAUUUGGACUUUUUUCUGACCCCCUACUUAAGAGGCUUCUUAAAAUAGGGUUUUUUCAAUAGUGGAUUAGAAUGAUCCUGAGCCAUGGGUUAAACUAACACCUCUAGCCACAAAAAAGAAAUUUAAUUUUGCANAUAUUUUUUCUAACACAAGCAAUUAGUAUCUUUAACAACAAUUAUUCUUUUUAUGUAAAUGUUUAGAAAAGGAAGAAAUGCAAAAGGACAAAAACCUUAAUUCGAGCUCAGAGUAACAAAAUAUUUACAUCAACCUUGGGGCUACAUUCCCGAUAGCAUUACCCAGGGGGCACCAAGCCAAGGAUAAGAUCAAGAAAUCUAUAAAUUAAAUAUUCCAUGAAUGUAUGCAAACAGAGAGCUAAAACUUCUGAAAUAAAUGACCCNAAAACAAACAAUCCAAGAGUCUAAAACAGAGAGCCAAAAGAUAUUGCAAACAUUUUGAAAUAAGUCUAAAAUAUUUCCAUCAGGUUUUUCAUUCUGCAUUUCUUCAUUAACAACAAUCGCAUCAUUCUUCGAAUGUUUACUAUAAUUUUAACCUACUAGAAUCAUGUGUUAGAAUUUAUUUGAUAUAAUGUGUUAUGUAUUAUGAAGAUAUUUGUUUUUUUUUUAUCUAUUGUGAUCAGAUCACCGUCUAAUUUCAUAUUCAAUAUAUAUAUAUAUAUAUGGGGUUUGUUAACACGCGUACGCCUGUUUUUCAGUUGGUACGUUUUAACAAUGUGUACCGGAUUAUAAUAGACAAAAAUAUCCUCAUUUAUCAUGGAUUCUAAGUUUUAAAGUAAAGGAUAUUUAAAUAAUUUUCAUUCUCAAAACUAAAAAAAAAAAACACGAAACCCCCAAACUCUUACUCACCUCCCUCAUUCCUCUCAACCCUUUCUCUUUCAUCUUUCUCACUCCAAUAUUUUCUCUGUCAUUCCUAUUUCCUAUUGCUCGAAUUGAAAAAAAAAUCAUAACUUUUUCCUUUCUCUGUUGGUAUGGGAUACAUGAUGUAAGAUUACAACCUAGAAUUGAAAGAAUUGUACUCCUAGGAAAUUCUUCUAUAUCAAUUUCUUUAAUUCCCUUAUGUUCCUUUUUUAUCACUGAAUCAACUUCUACAGGCGUUUAGAAUAAACUUUAACCACUGUGCAAGAUAAAAACUAGUAAAAUCAUUUUUUAUCUUUGAGAUUUGGGAAGAGUAACAUAAAAUGACAAAUUUUAUAUUCAUUUUACACACAUUAAUAAAUAUAAAAUGAUUAUAAAAGAGUAAACUUUUUCAAUUUUUAAAAAAUAUCUCUGAUUCAAAUUGCUACCACCAUCUUCAAUUGGGUUGAGAUAAGAGAAAAAAUGUUGGAAUGAUGACAGAGAAAAUGUUGAGAUGAGAGAGAAAAUAUCUCUGAUGACAAAGGGUUUCUGAUUUUUUUUUAAUUGGGGCAACAGUAGGGAUGACAGAGAAAAUGUUAGAAUGAGAAAGAUGACAGAGAGAUGAGAGAGAAAGGGUUGAGAGGAAUGAGGGAGGUGAGUAAGGGUUUCAGGGUUUCUUUUUUUUUUUUUUUAGUUUUGAGAAUGAAAAUUAUUUAAAUAUCUUUGACCUUAAAACUUGAAUCCAUGAUAAAUGAGGGUACUUUUGUCUACUAUAAUCCGGUACACAUUGUUAAAACGUACCAACUGAAAAACAGGCGUACGCGUGUUAACAAACCCCUAUAUAUAUAUAUAUAUAUUUCAACACGAGAAUAUGAUGAAAGUAAUAUAUGUUAAAAGUUUUACAUUAACUAAAAAUAAAGACAUGUCAUAAUAUGUAAACGAUUACAAAUUUUAGUUUACAAACUAAUUUUAUAAAAUUAAAUUAAAUUUAAAAUUUAUUUUCUACCAUUUACAUGAUUAAAAAUAAAGUUUAUCAUUUCUAACCGUAAUUGAUAAUUGAUGAUUUUAUUUAAUUCAAUCACGAUUACCAUUUAUAAACUUUCUUAAAUAGUAGUCUUUAAAACAUUAUCACUCCUCCAAAAUCUACUUUAUUUAUUUGUACCAUUUAGCCAUCGAAAGAUAAUACAGUUAUAAAAUAUGGUUAUGGAGACUUUCCCUCUUUGUAGCAAAUUAUUAGAGUCAUCUGUACUAAAAGUUACUUUUUGAUGAUAAUUAUCUAUUUUAAGGAUUAAGUUAAAUCUAUAAUAAGGUUUAAUUAUUUAGAACAUUUUUAUUUUUGUAGGGUUUUCUCAAUUAGGUCCUCGUAUUGUAAAAUCUCUUAAUUAGGUCACUAAUUGUGAAAAAUUGGAUCAAUUUAGUGUUUACUGUUAAAUUGAGUGGAUGACGUUAAAAAUUGAUGUAUGUGGCAGGGUCACAUUAGCAGGUUUUAUUGAUGUGGCAGAUUAUAGUGAAGUGAGUUGGAUUUGUUUUAUUUAAAAAUUAAUUUUUCUUCAAAUAAAAUGAUUGAAAACGCAGUAUUUAAAUAAAAUACAAUUACUAAAUGAAACUGCAUUGUCUUCUUCCUUGGGUGUCCUCUUCCUGAAAAUGCAUUGUCUUCUUUUUUGGGUGUCCUCCUGCUAGGGAUUUGGAAGAUACAGCGAUUUCACGUAGAUCAUUCAAAAAUAUUUUAUCUUUUCUGUCAAUCAGCCACAGGCAACCAGUGCCUCAUUUUCAUUUAUCCAAUACAACAUAAGAGGUUUAUAAAUUCCAGAAUCUUCAAAUCUUAAACAGUUCAUCCUCUUUUGUUGGGUAAUCUGAUUACCUUGGAAAGUCCAUUCCAAAGAAAUGAGAAGCCCAACCAGAUAGAGAAAAUUAGAAUUAGAGGACUCCCAAGCUAAAAAGAAUGCACCUUUGAUCACCAUCUCCUCAACAGAAAUAUGCCUUUGGAGGCCAAUAAGUGAAAUUUGGGUACAAGCGUUCAAGAAAUUAGGAACAAAGUACACACAUCUCAUUACACAUUUUUAACACUUAAUUAAGAAAUCAGGAAUAAAGUAUACGAAUUUACUCUUCCCAAUUCCCCUGAACCACUGCCACAGUGUGAUGGAUCAAUGUUCAAUUUCUGAUUCAAUUCCAAACCCUAACCAUAUCAAUUGCAUUGCCCUCUUUUCCCCCCUUCAAUGGCCAAUGUCUCUCAGUGAUAGCUCCUCUACAACCGCAACCCGAGCUCUACCCUAUGCUGUGGAAGCACGUCAACCUCGUCUGCACCAAAGUCGUCGUUGCGCCUUCGACGGCUCAGUCGUCGUCAUCUGUUGUGGGGUUGCGCGUUUUGGGGAUGUUGAAGUUUUGUUAGGCAUGGACAAUGUUGUGGUAGGAGGUUGGCGUGCAGAGGCUGGGGGAGGGAGUUUUGUGUGGACCGUUGCAGAAGAUGGUGGUUUCUCACGAGACUGUUAGCGGAGGCGGAGUUGGAGCAGCAAUAGUUGAGAAGGUGCUAAAGGUGUGUGGUUACAAAGAUUGGGUUUAAUUAUUUUAUCAGAAGUCAUAGUAUAAAUUAGGUUUAAUUAUUUAAAACUUGAAAUAAAAUAAAUUACACCUAAGAUGAACACGUACCACGUUAUUAAAAUUUGCUUGAUCAAUAUGUCAUGAUUUAUUAAAUUUAUCACCGUCUGCUGAAUUUAACGACAAAACUUUAAUUGACUCAAUUUUACAAAAAUAAUAACCUAAUUGAGAUAAAAACAAAAUACGAAAACCUAAUCGAGAAAACCUACAGAAAGGGAUGUUCUAAAUGAUUAUGGAGACUUUCCCUCUUUGUAGCAAAUGAUUAAAGUCAUCUGUAAUAAAAGUUACUUUUUGAUGAUAAUUAUCUAUGAAGUCAUACAAAUUAUUUUAAGGAUUAAGUUAAAUCUAUAAUAAUUAUCAAACCAAACCAAACCCACUUUAUUUAUUAAGUGUAGAAUUUACAUGAAGAUAGCAGAGAAACAUCGUACAGUAAAGGAAACACAAACAUUUGUUACAUUAGGACAGGAAACAGGCAUCCAAUCCCAAUGUUAGAUUAAAGAGAAAGAAACAAGCGUUGGCAAUGGAAGCCUAAUUCGUAGCAUAUUUUGACACCAUUUAUUCAUAUGAGGCUAAGUGGUUGAUAACGAUGACGAAAAUGACAGCUUUCGUAGGCCUAACAUCACCCACAUUCCUUCACUUAACUCUCCCAAAAAAACAUAUUUUGGAGUUGAACGCAUCUUAACAGUGAACUCAAUCCGCUUCCUUUCCGGAAUCAAACCUCUGAGACUGGGCCAUCCUUCAAGGAUAGGCUUGAUAUAACCCACAAAAGUGUCAUCAGUUGAACCUGGGGCGAGUUUGAUACGCACGUAGUUCUCUCCUUUGAAAAGGUAAAUUCAGGCUCCUUAUAUAUGAGAAGUAAAAUAUGUGAUGGAAGUCUCACAUCAAUUAGAGAUAAGACCACUUUAUAAUAUAUAAGUGAGGUACAGACCUCACCUUAGAAGCCAGAGUAUCCUGAGAGUAUCCUGUCAUUUAUUGUACCUGGAGCAUAGUCUAUGUAAACACAGAGGUUGCCGGAGAACACAUAUGCUUCACUUGCUUCAGUAUCAAAGGAACAGUCUAUUCCAUGUUCUGGCGUUCCUGCAAGUGAUGGAAAACCACUACUAAUCAAGCUCAGAUUAGUUAAAAUAUUAUCAUCAUCUGAUUUCCCAGGAGUGUAGUGCAACCGCACAUACUUAUUCUCCAUGAAGAAAUACACUUGAUUUUCUCUUGAUGAACGAAAAGGAGCAUUGAUAUAAGGGUUCGACAUCUUUCUUAACAAAACAAGAGGAAGUAAAAUAGAUAGAUAUGAGCUACGCAAGAGGACCAUCACAACCUUCUUUAGUCUCAAUAUAUAUGAUUUUAUUUAAUUUUUAUAAUAUCAAUACUCUUCUUGUUUAUCAAAAAAAAAAAUGCCAACACUAUUUAAAAACUAAUAUUAAAUAAAUAUAAAUUAUAAGGUAUUUCUUAUUUCUUAUGUAGUACAUCUAAUUAACAGUAAAAGAUAGUAAAUCGUCAUCAACUAACGCCCUUUCUGCUUUAAAAAAACAUCAAAUAAGGUAAAAAAGAAUAAAGAAAAAGAAAUCCAAAAUUUAUACCUGGAAACAAUGUUGCAUCCUCAUUAUCCAUCAUAUAUGUUUCUUUACGACAACUGUGCGAGUGGAAUUAAUAACAGACACACGUACAUUCGUUUUCAUAAGUCCAAGAUCACUUUCAACGUUAUCUGCAAUAUAUAUUCUCCAUUUAGUUUUUGUCAUGGCCUUCGGUUCAAGUGGGGAACCAAAAGGAGACCUACACUUUUUUUCUUCAAUUUCCUACCAAUUCUUCGUUUAUAUUCUUUACCAAUUGGACCACAAUAUUCUUUGCGUUAGAUCAGAAUAUAUAUAUAUAUAUACACAUUAGAAAAAUAUAUAAAAUUAAAGUAAUUCCAAGUAAGGAAAUUCCCACUCCACAACAGAAUAAAUAGGUGUAUCGGAGAGGAAUGUAAGCAUCCUUUAAUCAUAUAUCUCUAUACAAUUACUUCCUCUUCUUUUGUCGACAAAGAUGCCAGACCCUUAUAUCAAUGCUGCAUUUCGUUCAUCAAGAGAAAAUGAAGUGUAUUUCUUCGCAAAGAACAAGUAUGUGAGGUUGUAUUACACUCCCGGAGGAACUGAUAAGAUUUUAACUAAUCUGCGCUUGAUUAGUAGUGGUUUUCCAUCACUUAAAGGAACGCCAUUUGCAGAACCUGGAAUAGACUGUGCCUUUGACACUGAAGGGAGUGAAGCAUACAUGUUCUCCGGCAACAACUGUGCCUACAUAGACUAUGCUCCAGGUACAACAAAUGACAAGAUACUCGUAGGUCCGUACACAAUUGCUGAUAUGUUUCCUGCCCUCAAUAGCACGAUGUUUGCGGAUGGCAUAGACUCUGCAUUUAGAUCCACCAGAGGAAAAGAAGUUUACUUAUUCAAGCGCAAUGGGUAUGCUUGCAUAGACUAUGAUUCGAAGCAGUUUGUUGGCUCCAUUCGGAAAAUCACUGAUGGGUUUCCUGUGCUGAGAGAUACCAUCUUUGAAAAUGGAAUCGAUGCUUGUUUUGCUUUUCAUGAGGAGCCUGAAACUUACCUUUUCAAAGGAGAUAAAUAUGUGCGUAUCCAUUUUACCCCAGAUAAAACUGAUGACACUCGUCGUGUAGGUUUUAUCAGACCUAUCCUUGAUGGUUGGCCCAGUCUCAGAGGAUUAUCAGGCCCGGAUGCGUCUCCUGCUAUGCCCUCCAAACCUCCAAAUAAGUGAAGGAAUGUGGGUGAUGUCAGGCCUAUCCUCUCAGAGGCAUUGUGCCUGUCAACUACACAAUCUGUCAUUUUCGCCAUCGUCAUCAACCACCUUAGCCUCAUAUCAAUAAAAUGGUGUCAUUGCCAAAGUUUAUUUCUUUCUCUUUAAGCUAACAUUAUAGGAUUGGAUCGAUGCAUGUUUCCUGUCCUAAUGUAACAAAGAGUGCAUGUUUGUGUUUCCUUUACUGCACGAUGUUUCUCUGCUAUCUUCAUGUAAAUUCUACACUUAAUAAAUAAAGUGGGUUUGGUUUGGUUUGAUAAUUAUUAUAGAUUUAACUAAAUCCUUAAAAUAAUUUGUAUGACUUCAUAGAUAAUUCUCAUCAAAAGGUAACUUUUUAGUACACAUGACUCUAAUCAUUGCUACAAAAAAGGAUAGCCUCCAUAACCUUAUUUUAUACCUGUAUUAUGUUUCGAUGACUAAAUUGUUCAAAUAAAUAAACUAGUUUUUGGAGGAGCAAGUAAUAAUGUUUUAAAGACCACUAUAUAUGAAUUGAAUAAAAUCAUCAAUUAUCAAUUAUUAUCAUAAAUGAUAAAAUUUAUAGUCAUGUACAAUGUAAGAAAUAAGUUUUAAACUUAAUUUAUUCUCACAAAAUUAGUUUCUAAGAUGAGAUCCACUAAUGAAAAAUGACAUUUUGUGAAAUACAAAAAUGAAAUUUUAUGAUGUAGUUUUGGGCGUAAUAGUAAAUCUGCGCAUUUUAUGACGUAGUAAAAAUUUACGUCAUAAUAGUCUGAAUAUAUUAUGACGUAGUUUCUGAAAUCAGUCAUAAUAUACACGAAAGAUUAUGACGUACAUUGUUUUGUACGUCGUAACAUAUGCUUUUUUUUUAAAAUUAUUAUUACAAUUGAUAUCCAAUGAAAUUUAUAAUUACAAAUGGUACUGUUAGUUACAUGGAUCAGACAAUGCCUUGCAAAUGCUACAUGUAUUAGAAGUCAUGGAUGACUCAAACUAACUAUCUAGUCUAUCUUAUCCUUCAGUCCUUCAAUUAUUGGGUGAUCCCAAAUCAUGUACGAUGAAGGAGCCUAAUCUAUGAAGACAAUGUAUAGACAUAUACAUGUGAUUUAUUUAAUCUUAUAUCACUUAAAAUUAGUUCUAAGCCGACUGAUCUUUAUCGUCACUCUCAACGACCACCUGUGAGUAAAAAGAGGAUUAACUUCACUAAAAUUUGAUUGAUAAGUCGAAACAAUUAAAACAAUAACACUUAGCCAACGACUAUUCAAUUCAAAACCAAUUAAGAGUUGCAAUCAGAAUCUUUGACAUAACAUUCCAACACAUUAAAUUAAAGCUCUAGAAGUUAGAAAUACAGCUAUAACAACUCACAAUUCAGAUAUUGAUCUCUAACUUCUUUACCACUUAAUGCAAAGCAUUACAACCUCUGAUAUAUUCACAUAAAUUACUUAAUUUGAACCAUUUGUGCAUAAUAUUAAUUUAUGUUCUAUUAUUGAAAAGUGACACUACGACCUCAAUCAAUACCGAGAGAUUCUAAAGAAAAAAUGGUUGUACAACACAAUAUCUUAUUCAUAUUCAUCAUGCUAUCACUAUGAUUACUUUUUCAAGAAGCCAAAAGUUGAAGCUAGAUCAAGAAUGUUGGUAUAAUUAUCAAUUUCACUUUUAGCAACACCACAGAAAUAAACUCGAAAUCUAUUAGAUUUUAAUUAACGAAUAAGAUUAUAUAGCAAGAAAUGAAGAAUCACAUCAAAAAAAAGGAAGAGCUAAUGACAAUAUUAAUUGAAAAUAAAAUACUACACCAAAAACGAAGGAGACAGAGUAAACUACAACUCUUACUGUAACUUAUCUAUUCUCCUAAUUAGAAAUAAAAUACUAAAUAUUCCCAAUAAGUUAAAUGAAGGCAUAAAUAACAACUUGAACCUAGUAAAGUUUUUCAUUGUAGAACUAGGACUCAAAUAAGUGUAGAAAAUAGUAUAUUGACCAGCACAUGGAACACUAAAUAAUAAAAAAAAUCUAUGAAUACAUUAUAGAAAAAAUACCAUAACUAUUCACCUGGGCAUCACGCGGAUCAAUUUUUGUAGCUCUCCUAAUAAAGUCCUGGCCUUUAUCGGUUUGACCAAGCUGAACAUAUAUAUAUAUAUAUAUAUAUAUAUAUAUAUAUAUAUAUAUAUAUAUAUGCCCAAGCGCCUAGAAAAAAGACAAUAUAUAUCAACACAACAAUAUAAGAGAAGGAAGAAAGAACAUCCAGUGACAUAUGUUAAGCGACUCUUAUGUUGCUGCAAAAGCAUUCAAGCCGUAGAAAGAGAAAUGAUGUUAAAAAGGAAGAAAGUAAAAUUUCUUUCGAUUUGAAGAACUUACUUUCGAUGUCUCACAACUUUUCAAAGUUUGAGAGUGCCCUUUUAAAAUCUCUCAACUUUAUCUGCACUUGUCCCAGACUUGGAAACGUUAGUGAUUAAAACAGUGAAUUAGGUGAGCGAUGUUGAAGCAAUAAGCGUUUCAAAUUGAACCAAUUUUGUCAAAAUGAAGAUUUCAUAUAGGAUACCGAUGGUGGAGAAAGAUAGUUGUGGGGUAGUAAAAUAGAUUGUGAGAAUUACUAAAGUGAAAAAUCAAACACAUUAAUUUAUAAAUUAAUAUCAGAUAAUGAAAAUAACUUCUAAAUCACGCAUCAAACAAAAUCAGAAAAUUAAUGGUUGAUCGGUCGCACUAUUAUACAUCAAACAAAUCUAUCAUACAUCAUAAAAUCUAGAUUUGUAUUUGUUUAUAUACUUUGAAAUUGUUUAAACUCUAAUCAACGCGGAACUUCCUACACAUCUCAUCAUGUUAAGAUAUAUACGUUUUGAGUAUAGAACUAAACAUUAAUGGGUGUUCCAGUAAUAAAUAGAACAAUAGAUUCAACAAAAAACAAAUAUUCUAAUCAUAAGUGACAUAAUAUGUCAAACAAAUAAUAAAUUUUGUUAAAAUAAACUCUAACGCUUGACUCUAAUAUCAUAAUACAAUUACAUAUGGAUCUAUAAAACGCAUGACUUUAAAAUCAUCUCACUUAAUGACAAGUUUUCUUUUUCAAUUCCAAAAAAAAAUAACAAUCUUUUUCGAAUUCAAAUCUAAAUAAAUUUCAAUCUAAAAUGAUGUGAAAUUCUAAAGAAAAUUAAAAAAAUAUAUAUCAUACAAUCCAAAAUUAUCUUAAAUUUCAAAUAUAAUUGAAAAACAAACUCAUAAAACUAAAUUAGGUAGGUUGACGAACCAACCCAACUCACCACGGAUUCAACCCGGGUGAAUUGGGUUCAUAGUGGAUUGGACACAAAAUUAGCCCAUAUCAAAAUUUUAAUUUUUUCUUCAACUCAACCCGACUUAAACCAUAGUCAUUAGUACAAAAAUCGUAUACAACGUCGGUGUUUUUGGGCUUUUAACGACAAACUCGAGGUUGACAUCAUAUUGAGAGACGUUAAAGUAACAUCAAAUUAUAGAGGCUGACGUUAACAGUUUACAAAAAAUGUCGACCAAUACACAAAGUCGACGUCUAAUAUGUGACUAAAUACACAAUACCCAAGUGGAUGUAAAGGAUGAUUUGAUGUCCACUGAAAAGGUGGUGAGACAUAACAUUGAUGUCGAUCAUGAAGCUAUAUUCGACGUGAAUGUCGCUGAGGAGCUUGUCCAGCGGCACAUUUUUAUGGUUUUUGCAACUGGAAGGGGUUUAACGUCGAGUAUAGCUUCAAUCCGACGUCAACCUCCAUUAGUGGAAAAUAUACUUUUUAUAACGAUAUUUUAUACCUGUUAAAAUCUACCUGCUAUAAAAAGUGACGCAAUGGCAAUUUCGUAAAUAAAAUAAACUUUUCUACACCGGUUGUAAUAAAAUCAGGUAUAAAAAGUGAUGCAGUAGCAAAAUUAUAAAUAAUACAAAUAGCUUUAUACCGGUUGCAUUAAAAAUAGGUAUAGAAAAUCUUUUACUUUACAUAUUCAAUUUCACAUAUUCCUGGAGAGCUUCAUUCGUCUCCCUCGAGCUUCUUCUUCUUGAGACCACAACUUAUCAGGUUUUUCCUUUCACAUAAUCACUUCACCUUCUCCGAUCUUCAUUUCUUCUAUCGAGCUUCUUCUUCUUGAGACCACAACUUAUCAGGUUCUUCCUUUUUUCACCAUUUCAUUCGAGUUUGACCGAUUAAAACGACUUUUGAACCGAUCAAAUCCUUUCUCAUCGAUUAUUUUCAUUUUCCACUAAUUAAACCCUCAUUUGCUUCGAUCUAGUCCAUUUCUACCGAUUAAUCACUUGUUUUCACCGAUUAAUCAGUCCAAUCAAUCUCUCCUCACUAUUAAGAGCAGGAAACAUUUCAGCAAUUGUGUACGGACCUGAGAGUAUCCUGUCGUUUAUUGUACCUGGAGCAUAUAGUCUAUAGACACAGAGGUUGCCGGAGAACACAUAUGCUUCACUCGCUUCAGUGUCAAAGGAACAGUUUAUUCAAUGUUCUGCAAAUGGCGUUCCUGCAAGUGAUGGAAAACCACUACUAACCAAACGCAGAUUAGUCAAAAUCUUAUCAUCAUCUGAUUUCCCGGGAGUGUAAUGCAACCGCACAUACUUAUUCUCCAUGAAGAAAUACACUUGAUUUUCUCUUGAUGAACGAAAUGCAGCAUUGAUAUAAGGGUUCGACAUCUUUCUUAAUAAAACAAGAGGAAGUAAGAUAGGAAGAUAGCUUACAAGAGAGAUAUAUGAUUUGAUUUGAGGAUGCUUACAUUCCUCUGCCAGCCACCUAUUUAUAAUGUACAUGAAUGGGAAUUUCUUUACUUGAUAUUAAUUUAAUUUUAUGUUAUACUUACUUUUUCUAUUUUUCUAACUCAUUAAUUAAUUAAAUAAUUUAUUAUAGUAUCUUAGCUGAAUAUGUGAAAUAAAAUAUUCAAAUGUAUAAAAUAAUAGAUUCAUUCUUAUCUAACUAAAAGAAUAUUGUAUUCGAUUUGGUUAAGAAUAUAAACGAAUUCAAGAACAAUCCUUUUUUCUCCCCAUUUGAACUCAAUGCCAAGAAAUUAAAAAGAGAAUAUAGUGCAGAUAGAACUUCGAAAGUGAUUGUUAUAAAUACGAAUACAUGCUCUGUGUGUUGAUUCCACUCACACAGUAGUCCUAAAGAAAUAUAAAUGAUUGGAGAAUGAGGUUUAUUCAAUAAGUUUCUUGCUGAAAAUUACCAUUAUACAUGGAAGUUAGUCUUGCCUUUACUUAUCUUUGCUUGAAGAAGAAUCUUGACAACUUGGGAGGCCUAGAUCGACAACUACAACAAAAAAACAAAGGAGAACCAAGAGAAUUGAACGGAAUAAGUAAAAAAAAAAAUUCUUUUUGACAAUUAUUUUUUCAAUUAUUUUUUUAAAACUAAAUUGAAACUGAUCAAUAAAAUGAUGACAAAUAUUCUGUAUCAAAAUGUUGUAAAAAAAUAUUAUUAAAAUAUCAACAUCCAUAAGUAAAGCAUGAGAGUAACUACAUUAGGUUUAACCUAUGUAACUGUGAUGGGAAAUGUUCAUCUUCAUAUCUUCAUCUUCGCAUAAUGUGUGUUUGACUUUCUACAUCAUUAGCAUCAAUAUUUAAGUUUUAACUGAUGUUAUGAUGUCUACAUAAUAAAAUUUAUUUGUUUUAGCAGAGAAUGUCUUAAUUAUUGAAGGGUGAAUAUUGUAUGCUUAUUUAUAUAUCUUUGCUGACAAAAAUAAAGAGGGGCUAUUGAAGGAGUAUUAAUAUAAUUUGUUUAUUUAUUUAACCAAGCUUAGAGAGAGAGAGAAAAAGAAUAGUUAUUCAAGUUUAAUAGGUUCUUUUAAAUUUAAAUUCUGAAUGCUAAAUUGUGUUGCAUAUUUAGGAAGAGAGUUUAUCAUUCAUAAUGGAUGAUUUUAUUCAAUUCAAUCACAAUUGCCUUUCAUUCUUUGAAAAAUUUAUUUGCUCCUCGAAAAACUAGUUUAUUUAUUUUACCCUUUAGAUAUCAAAAGAUAAUGCAGUUAUAAAAUAAAAUUAUGGAGACUUUCCUCUUGUAGCAAAGAUUAGAGUCAACUUUACCAAAAAUUAAUUUUUUGAUAAGAAUUAUCCAUAAAGUUAUAAAAAUUAUCUUUAUGGAUUAAAUUGAAUCUAUAAUAAUCAUUGUAUACACCAAAUCAAACCAGCCACUUUUAUUUAUUAUUAAGUGCACAAAUUACACGGUGUUACAGGAAACAGGCAUCCAAUCCCAAUGUUAGAUUAAAGAGAAAGAUACAAACUUUGGCAAUAAAAUGUUAUUUAGUUGACUAAAGAAAAACUGUUAUUUAAAUAUCAAAAAAUAUGAAUUUAUUUUUUAUUUUUUAAUAAAAAAAUAUUUUUAUUCGUGUCGAAAUGGAGUCCGUUUAAUAUUGGACCUUAUAUAGAAUCAGCUCUAACACAAUGCAAAAUGCUACAAAUUUCAGUAUUUAUAUUUAUUAAAGUUAAUAAGAGUUUAACAACUAUUUUAUAUAUUAUGAAUUCGUGUUCAUUGUUGCUGAAAAUUGUCACAACUAAUAGGAACUAUAGAUUUUUUUUUUAUCAACAAAGAAUUAAUUAAUUAAUAUAGUAGAACAUUGGGGUGUUAUAACCCUUUUACAAAAAAUAUGAUAGUCGUAUACAUUAGGGAUGCAAGAAAGCUAACAUCAUGAGUCUCAACAAAAAAUUGAACACAAUAACUAAACCAUUGCUCAUCCUGGAUACGGAAUAAAAAGUGCAGAGAGAUUAACAUCAUAAGCUUAAAAAACAAUCCAAACCAUUGCACAUCAUCAUCAAUACAAUACAAAAGAAUUGUAAAUUAUUAAUCUAGAGUUUCUUUUUCUACUUUCUAUAUAAAUCUCUCCCAUUCAUGUUUUUUAUUAUUCAUAAAUUUCAUCACAUUCACGUUAAAAUAAUGUACGUAAUUUAUUUCUUUAUGUAAAUUAGCUUAGAAAAAAGAAUAGGUAUUCAAACUUAAUAAGUUAUUUUAAGUUGAAAUUUCAUGCAAAUUAUUGAGAGAAAGAGUUUAUCUUUCAUAAUGGAUGAUUUUAUCAUAAAUACCUUUUUCAUAAAUUGUAGUCCUUGAAAUAUGAUCGCUUGUUGCUCCUCCAAAACCUAGUUUAUUUAUUCUGCUAUAUAGAAUAUGAUUACAGAGUUUCCUUUUCUAGCUAAGAUUAGAGGCAUCUUUACGUUUUGAUAAGAAUUAUUCAUAAAGUCAUGAAGAAUAAUUUUACGGAUUAAACAAAAUCUAUAACAAUAAUUCUCUUAAACUAAACCACCCAGUUUUAUUAAGUGCACAACAUGAUGAUAGGAAAGAAACAUGCAGGUACAAGAAACGAAAGACAAACAUUCAGACUUGUUACAUUAGGAAAGGAAACAUGCUUCCAAUCCUAAUGUUACAUUAAAGAGAAAGAAAACAAACGUUAGAAAUGAAACCCUUAUUGAUUGUGAGGAGGCUAAGGUGGUUGAUGCAUGAGAGUGAAGGCUUGUUUAGCUGACAGGCAAAAUGCCUCUAAGAACGGGCCAACCAUCAAGGAUAGGCCUAACAUCACCGAUAAGAGUGUCAUCAGUUUUACCUGGAGUGAAAUGGAUACGCACAUACUUGUCUCCUUUGAAAAGGUAAGCUUCAGAGUCCACAUGAGAAGCAAAACACGCAUCGAUUCCAUUUUCAAAGAUGGUACCAUUCAGAACAGGAAACCCAUCAGUGAUGUUGCUAAUGUUGCCCACCUGCUUCGAAUCAUAGUCUAAGCGAACAUACUUAUUUCCCUUGAAUAAGUAAACUUCUUUUCCUCUGGUUGAUCUAAAUGCAGAGUCUAUGCCCUCCGCAAACACCGUGUUUCUGAGGGCAGGAAACAUUUCAGCAAUUGUGGUAGGACCUACGAGUAUCUUGUCAUUUGUUGUAGCUGGAGCAUAGUCAAUGUAGGCACAGAGGUUGCCGGAGAACACAUAUGCUUCACUCGCUUCAGUGUCAAAGGAACAGUCUACUCCAGGUUCUGCAAAUGGCGUUCCUGCGAGUGAUGGAAAACCACUACUAAUCAAACGCAGAUUAGUUAAAAUCUUGUCAUCAGUUCCUCCAGGGGUGUAAUACAACCUCACAUACUUGUUCUUGGCGAAGAAAUACACUUCAUAAUCUCUUGAUGAACGAAAUGCAGCAUUGAUGUAAGGAGGGUUUGACAUUUUUCUUAACAGAAGAAGAGGGGCUAAGGUAGAUAUAAAGAGUGCAAGAGAGAUAUAUGAUUUGAUUAAGAGAUGCUUACAUUCCUCUACAUGGCCCCUAUUUAUACUGUUGGAUUGAGAAUCUUUACUUAGUAUUGGAAACUGCCACGAAUACACACGCAAAGCAAAUGACAAAUAUCAUCUAUAUAUGAUGUCAAAACAAACCAGCCUUGUAAAUGUUAUCGGUGGUGCAUGUCCUUUCUGUUGGCUUCAUCUAACUUUAUUAUUGUAAUAUUAAAUGGAAAACGUGUUGAGAUUUUUUUUAUGCUUUUAGUGGCACUUGGGGAUAAUUAACGUUAAAGCGAGGGGUAACACAACCUUAAAGUUGUCAUGACAUAGUUGUUAAAGAACAGUUUUUCAACCUUAAAAGCCACUAAAUUGAAUUGAAAGACGUAAGAAGAUGUUAUCUAACUUUUGCACGUGCUUUUGUCACUGCAUAAACAAAUGUUAUGAGCUUGUUGGUUUCUGCACUGUUAUCUCAGCUUCACUUAGACACAAACUUUCUCAAUCACAAAUUCACGUAAAUUACUCUAAACAGAAUUUUGAAAUGCUAAAACUAAAAUUAAAACAACAUUAAUAUGAAUAUAAGAAUACAGAUAAUUAUCAGUCGAAAUAUGAAGCCGCUCAAAAUUCACACUAUUUAAAGUUAGGUAGAUGAACUCCAACAUAAAUCCUAAAACAAUUAUUAAAUUUAGAGUGAGGUAAACUGAUUAUAGUUGAACGUUAACAUUUAUUAAAAUAAGGUUUAAUUAUAUUUCUUUUAACAAAAAAAUUUAUUAUUAUUUUUAUUUGUUUUAAUUUGAUUUUUACUUUUAAAAAGUUGUACAAUUAUGUUUUUUUUUUUUGUUAAAUUUGAUAAAACGACAUGUAAACAUGAUAAGAUGAUAAAUAAUUCUAAAUUCUUAUUGAUGUAUAUUAAGUCUAAUGCUCAAUAGAGUGUAUCAAUUCCAUUUUAACAUUUAUUGUUAUAGCAGAAGGUUAUGUGAAAACUUGAGUAUGAAAUUUUAAGUAAGAAAAAUCUUCACCGCAAUGCAUUUCAUAAGUUAUAUGAGAUGUUUAGAGAUGUAAGAAAUACAGAAGAAUGUCGUCAUUGGAUAAAAGAGCAUCUCUGGAACUCAUUGUUAGCACAUUGAAAUUCUUUAGACUAUCGUAAUAAAUUGUGUUAUCGUCCAAAGAAAUCAAACUUCAAAAAAGGAUGGUGUUUUAUAUAUAUAUAUAUAUAUAUAUAUAUAUAUAUAUGGUUCCAUAUUACUAUUUAUGACAUGUCAUUUAUAUGGUACAAACCUUCAUUCUUUUUCUAUCUAUUAUAUAACUUAUGCAUUUUAAAAUUGAUGUGUACAUAUAAGUUCAUAUUUUGUUAUAGGUACAAAUGAGGUAUUUUAGCAAAGUCAUUAAAAAAGGAUCUCGCCAGUUUAUUGAUGAGAAGUCUCAACGGACACAUGUAAUUCCUGAUGGAUAUUAAUUGUCGGUAAUUAGUGGAAGAUGUAUCUCUCAGUAGCUAUCAACAUAUGUAUCCCUCAAUAAUUAUCAACGAUCAAUAUCUAAUGAUAAAUGUUACUGACAAUGUUUUUACUAACAAACUUUUGCUCUUUGGUAAUCAGUAAAGAAAUAGCCAUUAUUGAUGAAAUUUUUCUGUUUUUAACAUAUACAAGUCGUCAAUAAAUCUAGCUUUUUUGUAGUAUUUUCCACUGGGAGCAUAACUAUUCAGAGAUAUAGGAAGUGUCUCCCAACUAUUUGGUGAUGAGCUAAGCAACAACAACAUCAAUAGCUCAUCUUUUAAUAUAAUAUUUAUGAUCAACUGAUUCAUGAGAUUUUGAAAACUACUGAAGUGUUUAGCUACUGAAAAAUCACCCCUGUAUUACAAGUUUCCUAGCUUCUGAAUAAGAAAUGUCUUAUUCAAGAGAUUUUUAAAUUCAAAAAACUCGUCUAAUCUCUUCCACAAGCUGUAAGUUAAAGUCUCACCUGAUACAUGAUAUAUUGAUCCAUCAAUUGUUGGAUCAGACUAAUAGUAUUUUGGAUUAUCUUCUUCUAGUCUCUAUCAGAUUUAUCUAUUAGUUUGAGACCCUGAUCCUCAAUACGAUCAUCCAAGUCUUGAUAAAAUAACAGAUCUUCCAUUUGAGAUUUUCAUAUUACAUUUGAAGAAUCCAACUUGAUAAUGAUUCGACACCAUCACUAUCUCCCAUUUGCAAAUCACGAACCAAAGCUCCUAAUCGGAGCUCAGAUACGAGUUGUUGAGAAAAUGAUAAAAAAUACUAAUAAUAAGUGGAAGCAAUAACCCUAGAUUAAAUCUUCGACCAAUAUAUAAUAUAUAAAGCACAAAAACAAAGAAGGGGAAAUUAGGAGAUACUGAUAAGUGUGAAAAAUAGUUAUUUUUACAUUUAUAAAUGAUAUUAAUCUUGUAGUUAUUUAUGUAAUUACUCAGUGAAAAGUUGUAAUAGGGAGUAGAUUGUUACGUAAAUUAUUGUUCAGGAAAAGAUGUAUAAAUUGAAUUGUUCAGGAAAAGAUGUAUAAAUUGGAAUCUGUCAGCCAAUUCUCAGAUAGCGCAAGGAAAAAUUAGCAGAGCCCACAAAAGAAAUUCGCACAUCACACAAGUACUUAUGCGUUGAAUGAAUCAGCCAAUUAAAAGAAGACAACAUUUUUAAGAUUCGCAUAGCGCACCAAAUACUAUGCACUUAGCGAAUUAAAGUAGUUUAGUGCAUGAAUUAAAAUUAAUUCGCACAACGAAUACACUCUUGUGCGUUGGGCGAAUUAAAAUAAUUAACUCCUCCCACUGUGUAUUCCAAGCUUAUUUUGUAAAACUCAAUGUGCAUAAAUACAACUGGGAGCAAAGGCCAAAUAAGUGGAGAGUUCAGGAAAAGUUUCUGCACACAAGGGUCAACUAUGAAAAUAGCAUUGAUUAUUAAGCGAACCAAUUUUUUUUAAGACUUAUUGGCCAUACAAGUGAUGUUCACCAAUUGAUUAUCACAUUUAUAUGGAACCCCAUGGCCAAGGAACAAUUAUUUUUAAAACUCAAUGUGCACAAACAGAACUGGAAGCAAAGGCCAAAUAAGUGGGGAGUUUAGGCAAGUUUCUGUACACAAGGGUCAAUUGAAAAAAUGACAUUAAUUUUUAAGUGAACCAAAUUAUUUUUAAGACUUAUUGGCCAUAAAAGUGAUCUUUAGUCAAUGAUUAUCACAUGUAUAUGGAUCUUCAUGGCCAAGGAACAAUUCUUUUUAAAACUCAAUGUGCACAAACACAGCUGGGAGCAAAGGCCAAAUAAGUGAGGAGUUCAUGCAAAGUUUCUGCACACAGUAGUCAACUGUGAAAAUGGCAUUGAUUUUUAAGUGAACCAAAUUUUUUUAAGACUUAUUAGUCAUAAAAGUGUUGUUCUGCCAUUGAUUAUCACACGUAUAUGAAUCUCCAUGGCCAAGGAACAAUUCUUUUUCAAACUCAAUAUGCAGAAACAGGAUUGAGAGCAAGGGCCAAAUAAGUGGAUAGUUCAGGCAAAAUUUCUGCACACAGGGGUGAACUGUGAAAAUGACAUUGAUUUUUAAGUGAACCAAAUUUUUGUUAAGACUUAUUGGCCAUAGAAGUGAUGUUCAGUCAUGGAUUAUCACAUGUAUAUGGAUCUCCAUGGCCAAGGAACAAUUCUUUUUCAAACUCAAUGUGCAGAAACAGAACUGGGAGCAAAGGCCAAAUAAGUGGAGAGUUCAGGCAAAGUUUCUGCACACAAGGAUGAACUGUGAAAAUAACAUUGAUUUUUAAGUGAACCAAUUUUUUUUAAGACUUAUUGGAAAUAAAAAUGAUGUUCAGCCAUUGAUUAUCAUACUUAAGGCACGUAUUUUUCACAUGUUAGUCAACAUAGUCCAUGCCAUUAAUGCUUUAGUGAAAAAUGUUUAAUUUGAAUUUAUAUGAAUGAUUAUUAUACAAAUGUUAUAUUGUAUAAAAAUGGUUAUUAAAUUCCAAAAUUAACAAUUGAACUUAAUAUAUAAAUAUUAACAUAUAAAACACAUUUAUAUAAAAACGUACUAAUUGAGAUCAAGAAGUCAUAAAUAAACAUUUAUAUAAAUAUAAGUAUUUAAGGAUAUGAACAUAAAUUGGUGAUAUAUUUUGUGGUUCACACGUAUAACAUUAUAAUGACAUCCAUUAAUGUGAACUUCAACUAUAAUAUCCUUUCAAUGAUUCUUAACCUUGCAGACCAUAACGUCUCCUUCCUUCGAGCCAUAUUGUGUGCAAAAUUUCUUCCAUCCUUUUAUGAACUUGUCACCAAUGUUGAUAUCAAUGUAGUUCAACAACCUUGGAAACUUUGUUAUCCGUGUACUGUACAUUGAGUUGGAUGUCACAAAAUGAUGACAAAACCAAACCUUCAAAAGUAAAUAAAACAACAUUCACAUAAAAAGUGAUAAAAAACCUUAACAAAGUACUCAAAAACUAUAAUGCCCCACUUGUAGUUACCCACACACCCCAACUCAGAAACAAGGUCAAAAGGAAUUGAAAACACUAAUCCACUACGAUUGGGAAACAAGAACUCACUUAUCCCAACCAAUAUAUACAAACUACAAAAAUGUUCUAAUGAAAAAUUCUCAUAUUUCUUUAUCAAAAUUUGAUAACCAUGUUAACAUCUACUUUCCCAUAAGGAAAGUAGUCCCUAAACACACUUUGAUGACCAACUUUAUUUAAAUAUAUUGGUUCACCAACAACAUGCAACUCUAAAGACAAACAUACAUUACAUUCAUUAAAUUCAAUAAUUUUGUGUCCAAAAUAAAAUGAUUAUGGCUAAUUAUGCUUACCUUCCCUAAAGGAUAAGAAUUAACACUUUGCACCCUCCUUGUUAGGGAAAGUUCAACCAUACUACUUACAUUAUGCCCUUAAAAAUAAUAAGCUAAAGGAAAUUGGUGUAAUAUCCUAAAAAGGAUUGUGUCAAUAUUCAAGUACCAACCUCAUGGAAGGUACUUAUAGUUACCCCAAAUGAUUUUAAGCUCGUCAAAGUGAUCAAAACUAAAGCUAAAUGACCUAAUUAUUUUAGGAUUAGAUAUUGACUACAAAAUUACAAAUAACAUACUGUUAUUUUCUAUUUAAAAUUUGAAACAAAAAUGUUUACGCAAAAUAAUUUAAUAUCAUCUUGAUGAUAUCAUGCAUGAUUUUAGAAAGUAGAAAGCAUCCAUAUUUCAUAGUUUGAUGUUGAAGUUAACCAUACAUAUAGCAUAAAUUAGCCAGCACAAAAUGGAACUUAGUCAGAAUUCUAUGUUACAAUUAUGACAACUUAGCAAAAGUGUAGUAGUAAACAUUAUAGGUGGUACUUACGUCAUCCCUCCGUUAAGGUUUAUAUAUCUGGAGUAAGAGUUCCAAUCACCUUGCCCGUCAUAACCUGUAGAGAAUCCUACAGUCACCAUCAAUUUUCUAGAAGGACAAGUUAUUCGAUCAACAAUUUCAACGUCAUUCUUUGAGGUUAUAACAACUUACCUUAAUUACCUCCAUAAUAGUAAGCAGUCGAUGGAUGGUCAUUUGGAGUGAAGCUUGCAUUCAGGUUAAAUGGCUUGAACCCCUUAGCUAAGGCGUGCCCACUCUGUAUAGAAGCAGACUAUAAGAAUAUGUUAUCACACACAAAUCCAAAGUUUCUAAUGUAUCAAUUCUAUAGUAAAAAUACAUACCUUUGCAGGCUCCGGAACUACAGUGGUCUUGGGUUCAAAGUCCAAGGAUAAAUUCUACAAUAAAUCUGCAGCUUCUACAUUAAAAUGGUAAGAAAACUCAUGAUUAAAGAGAAAAGUUUCUCCAACAAACAAAAAUAAACUUACAUUAAAAAACAAAAAGGGAUAAAUUUUAUCGACUCAGCACCAGUAUUUAUAAAUUGUUUAUGGAAAAAUUAUCUAGAUGUCAAAUGAACCUAUUUAUUUAUUUGUUUAAAUUACAACAAUGUAUACAUGUUUUCAUAAAAUGAAAAAUGAAAAAAACUUCAAAAAACAUUUAACUUUAUUAAGGAAAAACCUAAAUGUCCAAAAAAUUAAAAAAAAAAACUCAUGAAACAAAAAUUAAUCAUUAGCGAAAUAAAUUUAAAACCUUCAAAAAUCGACUUCUAAUAACGUUUUCUGGCUUUGUAAGCACUUAACGGUGGAAUGAUUGCAGUGAAUAACGUGUCUCCCUACCAACUCCGAAUCCUUUAACGGCAAUGACAGUGACUGAUGGGUGAGUGCGACGGAAGAAAAAAACGAAAAUGCUUGUAGGAAAGAGCGAAAAGGAGUCUAGGUGCAAAGGUUGCCUUUCUCUUUUUCUUUUGAAAACCACCAAAUGAGACCCAAAACCAAAACCAUUCACUGUCUUCUAUUUCUACCACAUUUUCUCUUUUUUAAAAAAAAAAUUCCACUUACUCCAAUAACAGCGUGACACAUGUAUGUUGUAAAAAAUUUGUCAUUUUAAGGUGUCAAAGUAUCAUUACGUAAUCUGAAAAAAAAUUUCACUGAUAAUAAUUAAUAGGUACAACAAAACUCCUUGAAACAUUUAUAGAAAAUAUUCUAUUAGUGAAUAAACAAUACAAGAAAAUAUUCACUCAGAUUUAACUAAACAAAAAGGUGAUUACUUCACUUUCGAAUCUCACCAUAAACACUAUAGUGGCUUCUUUGGUUUUUCUCUCCAGAUAUACUAUUUGUGAGAAGUGCACACACAGAAAACCCACACAGCUUUCGCUGCACUCCUAAUUUUAUGGUGACCUACGUGUCAAUGAUCAAUAUUUUUCUUAAUAAGUCCUUGUUAAAUCCUAACUUUUUUAUACUUUUUAAUAAUAGAAGACGCUUAAAUGAAAAAGUGUUUAUCAUUUAUUCACUUUAAAGAAGUUACCUUCAUUUCACCGUUCCUAUUUACCUUUACCUUUUGUUUUAUGAGCGAAAAACAUUAUAAAUUAAAAUUGAAGCACCAAUGAUGUCGGCAGGAAGAGAAGAGAUUUUCAAUUUUUUUGUUUAAUAAUAUAUGUGAUGGAAAUUUAAUAUAAAUAUUUAAGUUCAUAUUUUCUCUUUGAAUCACCUAGGAAAAUAUGAGUAGACGCAUUUGAUUUUCUUAUUUGUUGGAAUUUAAAAAAUAACUCCGAAAAUAUAUAAAUUUUUCAAAGGAAAAAAGUUUGAAAUCCUUUGUUACACCAAACAACACACGUAUUAAUUAUUAAACCAUUAUACACAUACAAAAACGGAAAACAAAUUCUCAAACAAAUUUCGAGCUUCAGCAAAAUCUUGUUGGCCUAGAGGCUGUGAGAAUUCCGAGGAACAUCCUCUGGAUGGAUUGGCAUUUUUCUUCAGAAACUUAACAAAAGGAUGAAUUGUUGUAAUAAUAUCAUAUUAUUGCAAAAGACAUCUUUCUCCAAUGGUAAUAUUCCAACCGCCAAAUUCUUAAGUGCUGCAAUGGCCAAAUUAUUUAUUGUUUUUUAUUGUUUUUUAUUGAUUUUAUUCUUCCCUAUCUCUAUAAAUAGAGAACUCUGUCCCCAUUCCUAAACACACCAAAGUUCAUUCUUUGUCUUCUUCUCCUAAAAUUAUCCUAGGUAUAAACUCUUUACAGAGUUUCUUGCUAGUUCUGUGAUCCUCGAAUACAUUUCGAGAAGUUCCUAUUGUGUCCUGGGGGACUUGCGCAACAUACCGCGAAUAAGUCCUUAAGAACAGUGGUCUACACACCUCAGGAAAUGCGGUUCGAGAUUUUGGUCAGUAUUUUUUACUACAAUCUUAAGGACUUAUAUUUUAGUCUCAUUCAAAAAGCCAAAAAGGUACGAAAAUCUAACAUUUUUUUUAAUUACUUCGUAAUUGUUAUUUUUAGUUUUGAAUGCUUUGAAAGAUGAUUUCAUGUUUCUGUUUUAAUUGAGUGAUCCAGGAAUUUUAGAAAUAUAUGUUCGAUAAAAUAUUGUUCUAAGACCAUAAUUUUUGUUCCGUACUCAUGAAAUAAAUUUUCGUAACCAAGGUAUAAAUGUUGACUAGUGAUAUGAAUAAAGGUGUUUUUUUUUUUGGAUAGUUUCAACGUAAAACUGUAGUCCCUAUAUUAUCUUUGAUUAGAUCUUAAUUAAUUUUUUAAAUAAGUUUUAUAUUUCUUCCUUUUUCAAACUCAUACCUACCUAUAAUUAAGAGGGGAACAUUCAUAACAAGUAUUAUAUUUCUUCCUUUUUCACUAAUAAUAUAUAUAAAGGAGGGAUUGUGAUUAUGACUUUCUUUGAAAGCUAGCUAGUGAAAGUGAUUAUGACUUUUGGAGUGAUUGCAAAAGGAGACCCGGACUAUCUUACCAAGAGAUCUACCGUGUGUGUGUGGAAGCUUCCAAAGUUCCAAAAAGGAAUGAGUUUAUAAAAAAGUAAUAAUACCAUAAAACGUUUUUACAUUCAUUUGACAUAGAAUACAAAAAUAAAAUAGUCUAAAAAGUAUAAAAUUUUAUAAUUUUUCAAGAAAGAAAAGAAUAAAAAAUAAAUAAGGAUAAUAUCAAAUAAAAAAUUUAGGUUACUUAAAUAAUCAUUUCUCUUUAUAAAAGACACUUAUAUAAGUAGUCAAAACUCUUUCUUUAAAAGUUGCAAAUAAAAUUACAUCAAAAUCAUACAAGUUAAAUAUGUUUUUAUUACAUAUAUUUACCGUUCUGGAUAUAUAAGUUUAGGGGUUAAACUAGGCGUAACCUAAAAAGCUACUUUAUUAUUGAGUAAGAAACAAUUUAUAUACACGGACAAAAAGAUAAAUAUUCUCAUCUUUUACUUCUAACAAAAUUUUAAUGAUGCGGUUAAAUAUGUUUUUAUUACAUAUAUUUAUAUUAUUCUUGAUAAUUUAUUGUAUUGAAAUUUAAAUAAAAGUUGUUUAUUUAUUAUCAUAAUUAUUUUUAUUAAAUAAAAAAGAUAGUAUUGCAAAAUAAAACGAAUACAAGAAAAAUGAUUUAUUUUUACUCGGCGACAUAAUAGAAAUGGAUAAAAUUAAUAUUAUUACGUUUGUUUCACUUACUCAACCAUGCACAAUACAAACUUCUGCAUCUUACCAAGUUUCUGACAUUAAAAUCUAUGAUCCAAGUGCCAUGAAAUCUCCAACCACAAACCAUACCAUAAACAAAACCACCUUCAGAAUUUGGGAGAAAUUUAUCAUUGUGUAAUUGAAACUUACAUCCCAUCACCAAACUCCUCAUUGAUUAUCUCUUUGAUGCUCUCCCCAAAAUGCAUUACAGCUUCAUUCAACCUGUGAAAUAGAACAUCAACAUAACAGUUGGGCACCUUGAAACAAAGACCAGAAAAACGAGACAGAGAAGAACCAGAGAUAAACUCCCAAACUGAAUUAUUCACUAUUGGCUAUAGAAGACAAUGUUUACAAAGGAAAAAACUUCCUUUCACACAGAGUAUUAUUCCCUGUCACCAAAGUCAAAGAUUUCAAUACCAAAAAGAAGACCCCUAACACCUCACAAAGGUAAACUAUUUAUAGACUUUCUGAGAAAGUUUCUCCCCAAAACAACUAACUACAUAACCCCUUUUAUUUCUAAAUUCCCUUCUAUAAUACACAUUUCUCCCUCUCUCAAUAAUUCCCUUCCUAACAAUAACCCAACAAAUUAAGUAUAUAAAGAAGGCUGUUGAUAUAAUACACCAUACAUGUUCCCAGCAUUAGAAUAAACACAUUACAAAAGAACUACUAUGUACAUUCAUGUCAAUCACAAGACAUCCAUGACACACUAUUAACAACUAACAACUUGACAUGAUUGAGUGAAUAUUAAAACAACUUGACAUGAUUGACAUGCCAUGCUGAUCCACAAGUUCUAAUUGCACUACUUGGGUGUCCUUCAAGUCUUACCCAAUCAAUGUCCACCAUCCUAAUUCCAUCCAACAUUUAAAUAUUUGGUAGAACCCAAUUGAUGCAAUUUGAAUAUGAAGAACCAAAAUUGCAUAAUGGUGAUAACCUCCCACUUAACAUGCAAUUAAGCCUAAAGAUUAUACUCCCAACAACUCAUUUCACCAUACAUAACAGAUACUCCCAACUCCAAUUUCGAAUCCCUAAAUCCCAAUUUUCAGAGGUCUGAUCUCAUUUAUCUCUAAAUCCCAAUUUCUUAAGCCACAUCACCACUCCUUCUGUUAUGGAAUCAGUCCACGUAAAAAAAAAUAACACAUCACCACUCCUUCUGUUAUGGAAUUAGUCCACGUAAAAAAAAUAACACCUCACCACAUUCUCACUCCAACACGUGAACAAUACUUAAUGUCGUCUGCUAGCCCUUAACGAAUGGGGUACAAUGUGUGCAUUUUUACAAAAAUUGUGACUAAAUUGAGAUUGUUGAAAGCUUCAGGACUAAAAUGAAAUUCCUUAACAAAACAGAGGACCAAUUGAAGUAUUAAGCCAUUUUUAUGCUUCAUUGUAUAAUGUAAAACUAAGAAAAAACUAACCAUCAAAAUAAUAAUAUUUUGUAUAUUUUCCAAGAAAUUAAAUAAAUAAUUUUGUUAAUCUUCUCAUCGAAAUGAUAUAUAUAUAUAUAUAUAUAUAUAUAUAUAUAUAUAUAUAUAUAUAUAUAUAUAUAUAUAUAUAUAUAUAUAUAUAUAUAUAUAUAUNNNNNNNNNNNNNNNNNNNNNNNNNNNNNNNNNNNNNNNNNNNNNNNNNNNNNNNNNNNNNNNNNNNNNNNNNNNNNNNNNNNNNNNNNNNNNNNNNNNNNNNNNNNNNNNNNNNNNNNNNNNNNNNNNNNNNNNNNNNNNNNNNNNNNNNNNNNNNNNNNNNNNNNNNNNNNNNNNNNNNNNNNNNNNNNNNNNNNNNNNNNNNNNNNNNNNNNNNNNNNNNNNNNNNNNNNNNNNNNNNNNNNNNNNNNNNNNNNNNNNNNNNNNNNNNNNNNNNNNNNNNNNNNNNNNNNNNNNNNNNNNNNNNNNNNNNNNNNNNNNNNNNNNNNNNNNNNNNNNNNNNNNNNNNNNNNNNNNNNNNNNNNNNNNNNNNNNNNNNNNNNNNNNNNNNNNNNNNNNNNNNNNNNNNNNNNNNNNNNNNNNNNNNNNNNNNNNNNNNNNNNNNNNNNNNNNNNNNNNNNNNNNNNNNNNNNNNNNNNNNNNNNNNNNNNNNNNNNNNNCGAACAGACUAAACGUCUGAAUUAUUCAAGGCAGCACUUGCCUUCCGGACUAAACGUCCGAACAGACUACACGUCUGAACUAUUCAAGGCAGCACUUGCCUUCCGGACUAAACGUCCGAACGGACUAAANGUCUGAAUUANUCAAGGCAGCACUUGCCUUCCGGACUAAACGUCCGAACGGACUAAACGUCUGAAUUAUUCAAGGCAGCACUUGCCCUUCGGACUAAACGUCCGAACAGACUAAACAUCUGAAUUAUUCAAGGCAGCACUUGCCUUCCGGACUAAAUGUCCGAACGGACUAAAAGUCUAAAUUGUUUAAGGCAGCACUUGUCUCUUUCAUUAAAAACAACGUUUGCAAGGCGACGUGACUAGCAAUUUCGGAGCUUCUUUCAAUACAUCGUCAUUCAGACAUGAAGAAGUCAACAAUCCCCUACAGCCGAUACGUUCAAAACUAUUCAGAUCACCGAAUUCGGGCAUUUCUGCAUAAGCAAGUAAGUUCACUUGAAAUUAUACUAGUUAAGAUAAUUUAUCUAGAAAAAAUUGUUGUUGAUUUGUCAAGCAAAGUGAAAGCCCCUUGUUACGCCAAAACGGCGAAGGGUAACACAUUUAUUAGAUAAGGGUAAACCAAAACUUUAGUCAAAGGCCGAAAGCCUUCAAAGUACACAUGCAAUAUCACGCUGCGGGCCGACAGCCUUAUACCUAUACUAAUUCCCAAACAAUUGCAUAAUGAAGUCAUUAGAGGAAAUACAUAAACAUUCGCAAUUAUAACAGAGUUAAAACAGAAACAAGUUUUGAGAUCAUCCACAGAGUAUUGAAUAUUUAACAAGAAAUUUAAAUUUUUGGUGUAUCCACUUCCUCGAUGAUGGUUCUCCCAGGGAUCGGCACUUCACUAACAUCAAACGUCACGUUGCUGAUCUCUCCCGUUGGGGCAACAGUCUGAACAUCAGUCUGAGCUUUAACAGCGACUUCCUCUUCCUCUUCUUCUUCACCAUCCGAAUACGUUCUAGCAGGAACCUCUUUGGAUGGGACUAUCUUUCCAUCGAGAAUAUCCUUCUCCACGUCUAAAGGAAGAUCUUGUAGAGGUCGGUCAAGCUGAAAGGUGACCUGCCGGAUUGCCUUCUUAAAUCCGCGAGUGUGCUCCAGAACAAUAGCUUCUGCCAUUUCCCUUUCUCGAGCCUUUGCCGCUAUUAACGAAUUCUUCAAAAUGUUCCUUUCAAUGGUAACUUCAUUCAAGGCCUUUCAAGUAGCGGCAAGAUCAGCAGUUUGACGAUCCAGGUCCUUCUUCGUUGCCUGAAAGGACUGUUUUAUGUUCUCGAGUAUGACACGGCCUUCGUUGAUCGUUUUCUCGGUCGCCUCAUACUUGGGUCCGCAUUCGGAAUGAAGAAGGGUGAGAUCCAUCAAUUGUUUCUAUAGGCCUUCAACUUCAGCCUUGUCCUGAUCAUCCAUAUGGAUCAGCUCUAAAGUAGAGGCAGUAGCACGAACACAAAACUCCAAAAUGUGCUGGCGGAGUUGCUGGCGAGGAGUGUUUUUUAGCACUUUCAUCUCGGCCGAAUCCAGCUUGGGAUCUAUCUUAUACCCAGGUCAAAACCGGCAUCCCAUACGCCGUUCUGAAGGUCGCGGUCGGCAUCAGCGUGUCCGGUUUCAUCCACUGCAGUCCCCUUUGAGGGGUUCCUCGUUCUUUUCCCGGACGGCAACUCUCUAAGAGGGAUCACCCUCCUUUUUCUCUUCAAAGGAAUUUCUUCUUCGCCCUCCAGAUUAACGACCGGCGCGGUUUGUGGAGGGGGAGUAGGAGUCAGAACACUGGAGCCUUGACCCUGGAUCAGGUCCUUCGUGCAGUUGAACCAAUCAAUAGUGGUCUUCUUCUUGCCCAUGAUAGCUGAUACAGAAGAAACUUCAGUAAGCAAAAAUCAUUAAGUAAUUAAUAAUGGUUAAUACGGAAACAUACCAGAGACCCUUGAAUCUAGGUCGUCGUGCGCCAGGCAAUUCACUAGCUGUUUCGAAGAGAAAGGGUGAAGAGAUAGUUCUUCCAGCGCACUGAUAGCCUUUAAUUCAUAGGUUGACAAUGAAUCCUUAUCCCAAGAAGUUAUUGAGUAAGGGUUUUGAGUCCAAUAUAAGGGAAAUCUCUCGUUAUCGUCCUCAUUAAGGAAGAACGGGCGGCCUAGGUCGGUGAUAACUACUCUGAAAAAGUGUUUUUUAAAGUCUUUAUACGAGUCCGCAUACAAUUUGAACAGGGUAUUUUUGGGAUCAGAAACAAGUGAAACCCAACCCCUUUUUGGAACUGGGCGGGUUCUAAAGAAGUAUAAAAACAUGGGGGCGGUCGGUUUUAUAUCUAAGAAUUUACAAACUACGCAAAACGACUGAAUGUAACCCUAACUAUUGGGAUGAAGUUGCGUGGGGGCAACGUUUAGGUGUCUUAACACAUUCAUAUGGAAAUCAGAGAAUGGAAGUCUAACAUACAUAUCAACAAACAAACAAGUAUACAUGUAGAAGAAAUGCUUUUCAGAACCAUGUCUAUGGGUGCUACCUUUUGCCCCUUUUCUUCCACCACUGACGACGGCGAACCAAGAUUAAAGGAAGAACUCAUAAUUACCUGAAAAGAUUGACGCUACUAGGAGGAAGGGAAAUCGAUAUUCUGGUGGGAACGAGAGUGUUCUAAGAUUUGGAAGACAGAGGAAAUGAAAGUGGCGGUUACAAAAACCCUACAUUAAUUACCCUAUAACUGGCCGCAACUGUCAGAAAAACCCUUGACCAUUGGAUCAAAAUGAUCUGACAGCCAAGCGAACAAAACGCUCCAACUGCUUUCAAGGCGGGAAAAAAGUUAAUGAUGGUUUGGAACUCAAUCGACGAGUCUCCAAAACGCUGCGUUACGGUGAAAAUUUAAAAUGCUUCUGUGAAGAUUGAGUUACUGGCUAUUUAGGGUCCCUUAUAAUCGCCCGGGAUGUCAGGUUUACAAAGCAGUCGGUCAGUUGAGAUUACUCGUUGAGAGAACCCGGUCGGCUAAGAUUCCCUCACACAAUCAAAAGUCCUACAUUCAUUCGUUGGUCACAAUUCAACGCUUCAUUUGGACUUGGGGGGGAUGAUGUACGAUAUGCUAUUUGGGCCGAACGGUUGCAAUUAGUAACCGCACGGUCCAGCAUGCUUAUUGGGCCACAAUCAUAUUAAUGAUAGGCCAUUGUCGGUUCAGUCAUUGGGCUAAUAGUCCAUCACAACGAUAUAAUCCGUUGAGAAUAAUAUCUUAACAAACUAUAUCAGAAAAGAUUAAAUAAGAUAUGAACAGCCAGGUAUUCAGGUAUGACCGUUUAUAUUAUAUUCUGUUUAUAUUUGAUAAUGAUCUAUAUAUACAGGGCUGGAAUCGUGUACCAGGUACGCUCUCUCAUACACUAUUUGCCUUACAAUAUUAUUCAGUGAUUUCACUCUGCAUUCUCAUAUUGAGAGCCUUCAGCCUUGCCAUUCAAGGCUCAUCACCACUCACCCUGACUUGGGCGUCGGAGUGCCAUUGUAGGUACCUCCCCCCAGUCAUAGCUUGGAGCUUCCGGACGGUUGAAGAUCAGAAGACAGCAGAAGCGUCACAUCAUCCAGGUUAGUCCCUUCGAUCCCAAAAUAUUCAUACCGAAACACAUAAUAUUAUAUAUCAAACUAUUGAAAGAAAUAAUCAAUGUGCAUCUGCAAUACAGCAGUAUAUUUUCAAGUGGUUACAUGAGGAAUUAUUUUAUAAUUAAUCGUCGAUCAAAACGCUUACGUUUGUGUGUCCUCCAUCUGAACAUUUACUUGGAAUAUAUAUAUACAUCUACAUGUAUAUAUAAUAGGCAGAAACUUCGCUCACGCACUAAAACUUUCUCAAUCACAAAUUCACGUAUAUGCAUUAAUUCUCUUGGUAGAUUAGUGUAAACAGAAUUUUGAAAUGCUUAAACUAAAAUUAGAACAACAUUGAUAUAAGUAUAAGAAUACACAUAAUUAUCAGUCAAAAUAUAAAGUCGGUCAAAAUUGGCACUAUUAAAGUUAGGUAAAUCAACUGUAGCAUAGAUCCUAAAACAAUUAUUAAAUUUAGAGUGAGGUCUUCCGAUUAUAGUUGAACGUUAACAUUUAUUACAAUAAGGUUUAAUUAUGUUCUAACAAAAUAAAUUUAUUAUUAUUUUUAUUUGUUUUAAUUUCAUUUUUACUUUUAAAAAGUUGUACAACUAUGUUUUUUUGGUUAAUUUGAUAAAGCGACAUGUAAACAUGAUAAGAUGAUGAAUAAUUCUAAAUUUGAUUAAGUCUAGUGCUAAAUAGACUGCAUCUAUUUCAUUAAUUCCAUUUUAACAUGAUUUAUUGUUACAGUGUGAAAAUCUGAACAUGAGGUUUUAAGUAAGAAAUUUUUUUACCACAAAACAUUUCAUAGAUUAUCUGAAAUGUUUGAGAUGUAAGAAAUACAGUUGGAUAAGAGAGCAUUUCUAGAACUUGGUGCUAGCAUCUUGAAAUUUUCUAGAUUAUCAUAAUAAACGUGCUACUGUCCAAAGGAAUCAAGCUUUAGAAAAUGAUGAUGUUUUACAUACAGGUGGUUUGAUAUUACUACUCAUGCGAUUUGUAUUGUACAAACUUUCAUUCCUUUUCUAUCCAUUGUGAUAUAACUUAUGUAAUUUAAAAUUGAUGUGUAUAUAUAAGUCCAUAUUAUGUCACAGGCACAAGAGCUGGGAAUGGUUAUGCACGUUGAUGAGGUAUUUUAGUAAAUUCAUAUUCGAAAGGGAUCUAACUAGUUUGUUGAUGAGAAAUCCCGACAAACACAUGUAAACAAACACUUUUACAAACUUUAAAAUUGUACUAUUAUGUUUCUUUUAAACUUAAUUCUUUACUGACACUUUACAAAAUAUUUAAAAGAAUUUUCAACUAGACUCUCAUAGGUCAAAUCGAAGCAAGGGUCAUGUCCUGAUGCAAUAAAAGACCAUAAUAAUGAUGAGGACAUUAUUAGGACACAGUGUUGAAUCGACGUUGUCUAUGAAAUAAAUAAAGAAAAACUAUAUGGGGCAGAAUAGGUUGUUGCCAAUUACACUAGUGGAAGAGGAACACUAAAACAACAACCAUUAACUUCCGACAGUGCAUAAGACGUUGUUGUCCACAUCACCUAGCAACUAGAGCAACGUGACCAGGCUUAUGAUGAGUUGAAACAAUAGUUUAUGGAUUUCCAAAAUUUGAUCAUGUGAUUCUUGUCUCUAGAAGCACAAACUUGUCUUUCACGACCUCAAUCCACACCAACAUUGUCUCAACAACAAUCCUUUCUAGUCGAGUCCACCCUAGUCUAGCCACCUCCAGAAUAGUAACAACAUGAAAAAGAAGAAGAAAUAGUUAGAUGAUUAUGUAGUAUUUUAAGAUUUUGUUAGUUUUAUAACCAUUUAGUAUACAAUCUUCUAUGUUUGUCUUAGUUACAUUAUAAACAUGUUUGUGUGCAUAUUAAUGUCAUGAAUUUGAUUGUCUAGCAAAUUUCUUGGUUGUUUUUAUGUGUAAGGUUCAAUGUAUGGUAAUAGUCCACUAUACUUGACCUAACGCACAAUUUAUCGAUAGAAAUUAUCGAAACAUAAAUCUGUCAAUAAUAUUCUUUAUUGAUUCACAUAAUUAUUGACAGAUAAUAAUCGUCAGUAAUUAUUGACAGAUGUAUCUUUAUUUAAUUAUCAACAAACAAUAUCUAUCGAUAAAUGUUUUCAACAACACUUUUACGGAUAGAAUUUUACUCGUUAGAAAUUUGUAAAAAAAUAGUCAUUAUUAAUGAUUUUUUGUUGUUUUUAAUAUAUAUAUAUAUAUAUAUAUAUAUAUAUAUAUAUAUAUAAAUCAUCAAUAAAUCCAGUUUUUUUGUAGUGUUUUUCAUUGGAAGCAUAAUUACUCAGAGAUACUGUUAGUUUCCCAACUGAUAGUAAUGAGCUAAGCAAUAACACCGUGAAUAAUUCAUCUUUUAAUACAAUCUUCAUAAUCAAUUGAUUCAUAACAUUCUGAAAAUUCAUCCUUGUAUUUCAAGUUUAUUGGUUUCUGAAUAAAGAAUAUCUUAUUCAAAAAAAUUUUAGAUUCAAACAACUCCCCUAAUCUCUUCCACAAGCUGUAAAGUAGAAUUUCUCCUGUUUCAUGAUGGUAAAUAUAUUGAUCCAUUUAUUGUUGGAUCAAACUAAUAGUAUUUCGGUUUAUCUUCUUCUAAUCUCUAUCCGAUUUAUUUAAUAGUAUGACACCUGAUUCUCAAUAGGAUCAUACAAGUCUUGACAAAAUAACAUAUUUUUCAUUCAAGAUUUUCAUAUUAAAUAAUUAGCAAAAUCUAAUUUUAUCAUGAUUCCACACCAUCACUGUCUCCCAUCUGCAAAUCACGAACUAAAGUUCCUAAUCGGAGCUCGGAUACGAGUUGUUGAAAAAAUGACAAAAAAUACAAAUAAUAAGCGGAAGUAAUAACCCCAUAUUAAAUCUUCACUGAAAAGAUAAUAGAUAAUAUAGAUCACAAAAACAAUGAAGGAGAAAUUAGGAGACACCAUAACAUGAAAAAACUAAAUAUCCUUAUAACCUAGUCUAGACAAAUCAUCCACUGAUAAUAAUAAUUAGGUACAACAAAACUCUUCUUAGAACUUCCAAAGAUUUAUAGAAAAUAUUCUAUCACUCUAAGUGAAUAAACAAUACAAGAAAAUAUUCACUCGAGAUUUAACUAAAAAAAAGUGAUUACUUCACUUUCGAAUCUCACCAUAAACAUUCUAGUGGCUUCAUUGGUUUUUCUCUUCAGAGAUACUAUGUGUGAGAAGUGCACACACAGAAAACCCACAUAGCUUUUGCUGCACUCACAUCUUGUUCUCUCUUAAUUUUUCUUUCUGUGUUAUUUUCUUGUGGUGCAUUGUAUUGUGGAUGCAGAAGCUCAUUCCUUUUUAUAAGGGUUUCAAACCGCCUUGCAUGAGUUGACAAUGGCUGUCAUGCAAAUGUUGCAAUUACAAAAUGAAACCAUGUAAAAAAUUACACGUUGUACUCCACUUUCCCUAUUGAAUCCAUGUCCGAAAGUUUUACUGCAUUUGCCACUCAUUUUGCUUCAGCAAAGUUGCCCUAGAGGCUGUGAGAUUUCCGAGGAACAUCCUCUGGAUGGAUCAUUUGGUGGAGGGAUUGACAUUUUUCUUCACAAACUUAACAAAAGGAUCAAUAAGGGUCCAGUAUGUAAUUUAGGUGGUUGUGAUGAUUAGGCCUCAAGAAAAUUGUAAUAAAAUACUCAGUAACGAACAGGAUUGGCAGGUAUAUUUUGAUAGGACAAUGAUAUUUUGACAACACUUUUUGACAACUUUUUUGACAACGGGACACGUGUUAUCAUUUUAUUGGUCUAUUUGAAUUUGUUUAAAAAAUAUUUAAAACGGAUCAAUCACAAGCUGCCACGUAUGCGUUGUAAAAAAAUUGUUAAAAAAGUGUUGUUAAAAGAAGUUUUUCCAUUUUGAUAAUACAUCAAUACAUAAACUGAACAUUGAUAGUCAUGGUGACAAUAACCAACGUUUGCAUACAAGCCUAUGGUCGAUUUUCCUACAUGUUAUAGUAACAAAAACAGUAAACUUUAAUGCCUAAAAACAUAUUAAAACAGUAAUCAACCUUCUCCACUAAAAAGUGGAAGCUGAACUUGCAGGAAAAGUUCUUGCCAACAUGAUGAUGGCUAGAAAAAUACUUGUUUACUUUUUAAUCUAUCUUCCAUUCUUAACUGAAAAAAAAAAAAAAGAGUGAGAGUUAGAAGUUAAAACAUAUUUCAUCUAUGUUAAAGGAAAAAAUUAUUUUCAUUACCUUCUCCAUUUCAGCCAGAGAAUAUUUUCUGGCGCCUAAAUAUUCCAGUCCCAAGAAAACUGUGCAUGAUUGCUUAUGUUGGAACAAAAUAGAUGCAGCAUUGAUAUACUCAUCAUCCAAAUGCUGAACUUCAAAAAGAAGUUUUAAUCUUUGAAAACAUUUUUGCAUCAAAAUUGCAGAAUGGAAAGGUGAUUGGAGAGAUGAUUGGGACAGGCAUAUUUGGAAUGAAGCUCCAUUAGAAUUAGAAGAUGAAGCAUGUCUACGACCGGAUGAAGAUGGAAGGGAUGAAGAUGAUCGGGACCCUGAAUAAGGAUGCUUGAAAUAAUACCAAAGCGCAUUAAAGAUUUGGCGGAUUGACUCGAAGUUUUCAAGAAUUCCUUUAUAAAGAAGUCGGAAGCUUUCUGCUUGUUUCUACAAAUUUGUCAUAUAAGAAUAAGCAUUUAGUGACAGGAAGUAAAAAUGAAUCCAUAUUUGCACCAGCUAAACUAAACUAAACCCAUAAUUAAUCCACUUCAAAAAUUCAUUUCAUUAUUAGCUGCUUCAAUUUCACAACAUUUAAAAACCCUAAUUAAUCAAACACAUUUAACAAAAAGACAAUUAUAAUUAAAAUCGAUAGCAACAGUCCAACUAGAAGAAAGGAAAAUCACAGCAAAAACCCUAUUUAAUCAAAACAAGAAAAGACAUAAAUUGGCCAUGAAGGUUUUGAAAACAAGGCCUUUUCAACCACUUACCCGGUGACUGUCGUUCUCUGGUAUCUUUGGGUAGACUGCACCAGUGUCCAAAUCAAAUAUUAAUUCCGGAUUUCCGUUCAUCAUAUCUCUGCAACAAUUUCUAAAGUAGUAGUGUGUAACAUUCAACACGCGUUCAACCUGCCAAGCAUUGGAAAUAUUAUGUCCUUUUGAUCUCCGGUCUAUAAUUUUGUAAUAAAUGAAAUCCUUCCAAAUAAUUUAUUUUCUUACCAUUUCUUUAGUCAUCGAUACUCCUUCUUGAUCUUGUAACAAUUUGGAAAUACGAUAACAUUCCAAUGAACUAAAGAUGUGAUAUCGAUGGCUCCUUUGAAAAAUAGAAUCAGCAGCUAGAACCCUUAAAAGCGUUUGCUUAUCUUCAUGGUGAAGAUUUAAAUCUACUAACUUUUUAUUCUGUUCAUUGUAACCAAAUGUUAGAAAACAAACACAUAACUACAAAUCCAAGAUCUAUUUAAAAUUUAAACUACAAUUUCUCUAUAAGCUAUACUUACCACAGCUGCUUUAUUAGCCAUUUCUGCAAUAUUAGCCAUUUCUUGUUUCUUCUGCUGCAGACCACAAGUUUUCAUUUCUGCUAUAUUAGCCAUUUCUUGUUUCUUCUGCUGCAGACAACAAGUUUUUUGUUUCUUCUGCUGCUGCAGGCAACAAUUUAUCAAUAUGAUUCAUCAGUUUGACUAUUGAUUCAUUUGGCCCAUCAUUCUAAUCAAAUGUUAGAGAACAAAUACAUAACUACAAAUCCAAUAACACCCUUAUAGGUCUCUCUUGUUUGGAUAAAUGGAAAGAAAUAAAUACCACUAACACCAUUGUCUCAUGGCUACCCAUGCUAUUGUCACAAGACUCUAUAUCAUUGUCUCAUUGCUCAAUAGAUGAGAAAAAAUAUAAAGUACUCGAACAUGAUCAUAGAUAAAUUUACACACCUUUUCUCCUGAAACUUUUUGUCUUUCGGAAUAAUUUGUACAAGACCAAGAAUAAGAGCAACAACUUGAACAAGGGUAUUCGCUUGCUUCUCUCUUGUUUAUCAUUUUAAAGGUAGAAGAGUUGCUGGAAAUAGACUCCAUUGUAUCAAAUGAUCAGACAGACACCUAUCACAUAUUUUAAAAAAAACAUUGCAAGAUUAGUUUAAAUUAAUAUUUAAAAGAGAAAGAAACAUUUGGGCCUUUUCAAUGUUGAAAUUUAUUUAUAUCUUAAUGCACUGUCCAAACAAAAACAAAGAAUAUAAUCAAUAUGAAAAUUUGCAAAAAAUUAUUUGAAUUAUAAAAAGCAUAACCAAGCUAAGCAGCAAGCCUUACAACCAACGAAUCAAUAUAAGGGUGUUAACAUGGGAAAUGGGAAGAAGGAAGAAGAAGAGGAAGGUGACAUAGAGUGGUUAUAACUUUCUUUUCAAGCUACCUAGUGAGAGUGAUUAUAACUUUUGAAGUGAUUGCAAAAACACAUCGAGACUUGAUUCGUAGCAGAAAAUAUCUUAUCAUGCAGAGAUCUUAUAUAACCAAGAAAGAAACUUUCUCUGAAAGCUACCUACUGAGUGAUUAUAUGACUAAGAAAGAAAGUUGAAAGCUUCUUAGUAUCAAAAUAAACUAAUAAAAUAAUAACACGUAUUUUAUUAUUAAAAAUUUAUUAAAAAUAAAUAUCAAAAUAUCAACUUCCUUUAUAAAAAGACACUUAUAUAAUUAGUCAAAACUCAAAUUUUCUUUGAAAGUUGCAAAUGUAAUUUUAUUCUAAAAUUACAUCAAAAUCAUAAAAAAAUUUCAUUUAUGACAUUUAUAAAUAUUUACCGUUCUGGAUAUAUAAGAUUAGGGGUUAGACUAGGCGUAACCUAAAAAGCUACUUUAUUGUUGAGUAAGGAACAAAAAUUAUAUACACGGACAAAAAGAUAAAUAUUGUCAUCUUUUACUUUUAACAAAAUUUUAAUCAUACGGUUAAAUAUUUUUUUAUUACCUAUAUUUAUAUUAAUCUUAAGAAUUUAGUGUAUUGAAAUUUAAAGAAAAGUUGUUUAUUUAUGAUCAUGAUUAUUUUUAUUAAAUAAAAAAGAUAGUAUUGCAAAAUAAAACGAAUACAAGAAAAUUGAUUUAUUUUUACUCGGCGACAUAAUAGAAAUGGAUAAAAUUAAUAUUAUUACGUUUGUUUCACUUACUCAACCAUGCACGAUACAAACUUCUGCAUCUUACCAAGUUUCUGACAUUAAAAUCUAUGAUCGAAGCACCACGAAAUCUCCUACCACAAACCAACCAUAAACUUUUUAUUCUUCUCUUCCAUUGUCUCUCUGUUGGCAACACAGAAUAGCAGUGACCAAAUACAACAUUUGCAGUUAUACAUUUCGUGAAGAUUUCGCAGUUGGUCCUUCUUUCAUCAUACUCAUUGCUUUGGUCUUGAAACCAUGUGCUCAGAUUUCUGUUCACAUUGGAAAAAAAGUUUUGAAAUACCAAAAACAAGGAAUGCUUGAAAACAAUUUAUUUAAUUUCAUACACUAAUGAUGGGAGAUUGUUAGUGUAUGAGAAGGAAACGUCAGCAGCUUAACAGUUAGCCUAACUGUUUUAUCAGUUAGGAAUAAAGGGGAACGGGUUGGUAUAAAUAGAAAGAGAGAGUAGAAGGGAGGACAAUUUAGACUUUUGUAUUCUUUAACAAGAAUUCGUUAUUCCUGUAGGGGGAGGUUAGGCUCCCAGACUACAUUUUUUCGUUGUAUUCUUGCAAUAAAUAAUAUCAGAGGAGGUUAUACAGAGUCUUGGGUGUUGAUUCUGGUGUGUGUUUGUGAUAAUUCUUUAGGUUUCUCGAUUAGAAACAUAUCAUUUGGCCCGACCUGCCGGAUCAAAAUUUGGGGAACGACGUGAGGAUGGAGAAUGCGACGGAGGCACGAUUAGAAGCGAUUGAGAUAACGGUGGAGGGGAUGAAGGCUGAAUCGGCGGGGGUACGACGGGAUUUACAANAAAUUAUGAAAAUGCUGGAAAAACAGGGCAAUCAAAUGGAGAACAGUUCGGAUGGUAGCUCCGUGAAUGAUAAUAGACACAGAGGGAUUGGGGAGACCAGAGGCGGUGGAAACGGCGAAAGGAGUGAGGAACAAAAAUCGUGGAGGAAGAGAGUUGAGUUACCCACCUUCGACGGCGAGGAGCCCCUAAGUUGGCUCAACAGAGCUGAAAGGUUUUUCGAUAUACAAAAGGUGACGACCGACGAGGAAAGGGUGGAGGUCGCUUACGUGAGCAUGGAAGGGAGUGCAGCGUACUGGUUCACUUUUUGGAAGGAGAAGGCCAGAAACCGCUCGUGGGACGGGUUGAAAGCAGCCAUGAUCAAUCAAUUCGGUGGAGGAUUUAGAGUAACCGUGUUCGAACGACUGGCUACUCUACGCCAAGAAGGAACGGUAGAAGAAUUUGUUCGUAAUUUUGAAGUUUUGAUGGGGCAAACGAGAGGAAUACCUGAAGAAGAAGUCCUGGGUUAUUUCUUGGCUGGAUUACGAGAAGACGUGAAGGGUCAGGUGCGGAUUCAGAACCCGUCGGAUUUAAUGGAGGCAAUGAGGAUAGCGCGUGAUGUGGAGGACGCGAUGAUGAGAGCAUCAGGAGGCCAUGCUAGUGGGUUCAAGAUAAACCCAUUUGGUUUGAGAUCUUCAAGGAUGGUGACGCGAUCGGAACCUUCUCGGACUACGACGUACCAACCAGGAAGAUUCGAGAAUGGAGGAUCGGCAAGGAACAAUGGUGCGGUGAUGACGAAUGCUAAUGCGAGGAGGAACAAUGCUAUUGGGAACGAUAACAGAGGGCGAAUGGUGAGGAAUCUGCCUUACCCGAAAUUUCUCAAAUGAAAGGAAGAGGGUCGUUUUUUCCGAUGCGGGGGCCCGUUUGCACCAGGUCAUCGAUGCACCGAGAGGAGUUUGAGGGUACUGUUGCUAGCAGAGGAUGAAGAGGGAGAAGAGGGGGGAGGUGGUCGGCGAUAAGGAGGAAAAGCCCAUGGAAUUUUCUGCAUGUUCGGCGGAAGGGCUGACCACUCCACGAACCUUGAAAUUGAGGGGAAAAAUUGGAGAACGAAGCGUGGUGGUGCUGAUCGACAGUGGCACAAGCCACAAAUAUAUCAGCCGGAAGGUAACAGAGGAAUUGAGAUUACCAGUGACUGACACCCGUGCGUAUCCGGUGAGUUUGGGUGAUGGGCAUAGACGAGAGACUCGAGGACGAUGCGAGAAGGUGACGGUGAGGUUGAAGGAGGUUGAUAUAGAUGAGGAGUUUUAUGUGUUUGAGUUGGGUGGCGUUGAUGUAAUUAUUGGUGUUGUAUGGCUGGCGAAAUUAGGAGAUGUCAAGACUAAUUGGGGAAGCAUGACGAUGGAGUAUAAUAUGGAAGAUAAGAAGAUCAGGAUAAGGGGCGAACCAGCCUUGUCACGACAGCUGGUAAAAUUUGGAUCAUUGCGGAAGAUGGCGGAUGCGGAAUCAUGGCCGAUGGUGUGGGAUUUAAGCACAGUGGAAAUAGAGCAGGAUGGUGAGUGGGAGACAGAUUUGAAAACAUAGCAGAAAGUGGCAUUGGCAACUGUGUUGCAGGCGCAUUAUCAUUUGUUCCGAGACUUGCAAGGAUUACCUCCCUCACGUGAUAAACAACACAGAAUACAACUGAAGGAAGGUAACGACCCUAUAAAUGUAAGGCCAUAUCGGUAUCCUCACAUACUGAAAAGUGAGAUUGAAAAACAAGUAGAAGAUAUGUUGAAGGCCGGAAUCAUACGCCCCAGCUCUAGUCCAUUUUCCAGCCCGGUUAUCCUCUUAAAGAAGAAGGAUGGGAGUUGGCGCUUCUGUGUAGAUUACCGGGCAUUAAACAAGGCCACAGUAUCGGACAAAUUCCCUAUUCCGGUGAUAGAAGAGUUAUUGGACGAACUAAAAGGUGCCAGGUAUUUUUCUAAAAUCGAUUUAAAAUCUGGGUACCACCAGAUCAGGAUGGAAGAAGAAGACAUGGCCAAAACAGCAUUUCGCACGCACUUGGGUCAUUUUGUGUUCUUGGUCAUGCCGUUUGGCCUCACGAAUGCGCCGACAACUUUCCAAAGCACGAUGAAUAGUCUAUUGCAGCAAUAUCUUAGGAAGUGGGUGUUGGUGUUCUUUGAUGACAUUCUCGUUUAUAGCCCAAGUUGGGAAGACCACCUGAAGUAGUUAAGUUUGGUGAUGCAGCUAUUAGAACAGAAAGGGUGGGUGGCCAACCAGAAGAAAUGCGAUUUUGGGAAGAAAAGGAUUCGUUACUUGGGGCAUCAAAUCUCUAAACAAGUGGUGGAAAUGGACAGUGAAAAGAUUAAGGCAGUGGUGGAAUGGAGAGAACCUAGAAACUUUAAGGCUUUGAAAGGUUUUCUGGGAUUGACUGGAUAUUACAGACGUUUUGUAGAUGGGUAUGGGAAGAUAGCACAACCCCUGACAGAGUUAUUAAAAAAGGGGAAGUUUGCUUGGUCAGAUCAGGCGAGGGCAGCUAUGGAGAAUUUGAAGGCUGCUAUAACCUCUACUCCAGUCUUAACGUUGCCGGACUUUAAUCAGGAAUUCUAGAUUGAAUGUGAUGCUUCAGGAGGAGGGGUGGGAGUUGUGUUGACCCAAAACAAGAAACCCAUUGUUUUUUUCAAUAAGGCACUUUCGAGAGGUUCUUUGAGUAAAUCAGUUUAUGAGAAAGAGCUGAUGGCAUUGGUGUUAGCCAUCCAACAUUGGAGGCCUUACUUGGUGGGAAGGAGGUUUACGGUAUACACUGACCAGCGUAGUUUAAAGUACUUGAUGGAGCAAAGGAUAACCACACAGAGCCAGCAGAACUAGUUGGCGAAGCUUAUAGGGUAUGAUUUUGAAAUAUUAUACAAAAAGGGAAGUACCAACAAGGUGGCAGAUGCACUCUCACGAAGAGAUGAAGGAGAGAUAGAGGGAAGAGAGCUCCAGGUGAUAUCCAGACCCUUCUGGUCAGACUUUCAAGAGCUUGUAAGAGAAGUGGAGGAGGAUGAAGCAUUAAAAAGGGUGAUUGCUGACAUUCGUAGAGAUCCCAAUUCCCAUGCGGCAUACACUCUAGAAAAUGAUAGACUGCAUUAUAAAGGAAGAAUGGUGCUAUCAACUGAGUCGGUGUGGAUUCCUAAAUUACUAGUAGAGUUUCACAUGACCAAAACAGGAGGACACUCGGGGGUGUAUUGUACAUAUAGGAGGAUAGCCCAAUCCUUGUAUUGGGUAGGUAUGAAAAAGACGAUUACUGAGUUUGUUGCUAGUUGUGUCGUCUGCCAACAGCAUAAGUAUAUGGCAACAUCCCCUCAAGGGCUACUACAGCCAUUACCCAUACCUCAAGCGGUGUGGGAGGAGAUAAGUUUGGACUUUAUUGUGAAAUUACCGAGGUCGCAGGGGCAUGAUGUUAUUCCAGUUGCAGAGAUAUUUACCAGGGAGAUUAUCAAAUUGCACGGAAUUCCGGUCUCAAUUAUAAGUGAUAGAGAUCCAUUGUUUUUGAGCAUUUUUUGGAGAGAGUUGUUCAAAGCAUUGCCUAUCACCCUGAAACAGAUGGGCAAACAAAGGUGGUUAAAAGGAUAGUUAAAGGGUAUUUAUGUUGUUUUUGUUCAGAACAACCCAAGAAUUGGUAUGCAGUAUUGCCUUAGGCAGAAUACUGGUAUAACACCAGUUACCGGGGCUCAGCUAAGUGUACACCAUUUGAAACCGUGUAUGGCAGAGCCCCUCCAUCCUUUAGCAGAUUUAUACCUGGAGAAACACCGGUGGAGGCCAUGGCCCAGGACUUGAUGACACAUGAUGAGGCCCUUAGACAGCUGAAAUUUCACUUGAAUAGGGCCCAAGAUCUAAUGGUACAGCAGGCUAACAAGAAGAGGAGAGAGGCAGAUAUCAAGGUGAAUGAUUGGGUCUAUUUAAAGAUCAGACCUCACCGACAAUCUUCGAUGCCAAUGAGGCUGCAUCCAAAGCUUUCAGCCCGCUAUUUUGGUCCUUUCCAAGUGCUACAGCAGAUAGGCAAUGUGGCUUUGAGACUGAAGCUACCAGAGACCGCAAGAAUUCAUGCGGUAUUUCACGUGUCCCAGUUGAAAAAGGCGGUGGGGGAGCAAAUAGUAGAAAAAGGACUGCCAGAGGAGCUGCAGGCAGAGGGGCCCAGUUUUUAGCCAAUAAAAGUCUUGGACAGGAGGCAAGUUCAACAGGGAGAGGAGUUAUUGAACCAAGUUCUGGUGUAAUGGCAAGAAGGGGGUAAGGAGGGUGCUACUUAGGAAGACGAAGCUACCAUUCAGGAUCAAUAUCCUGAGUUCAACCUUGGGGACAAGGUUGUCGGAGGGAGAGGGAGUAAUGAUAGGAGAUUGUUAGUAUAUGAGAGGAGAAAGAAACGUCAGCAGCUUAACAGUUAGCCUAACUGUUUUAUCAGUUAGGAAUAAAGGGGAACGGGUUGGUAUAAAUAGAAAGAGUGAGUAGAAGGGAGGAAAAUUUAGACUUUUGUAUUCUUUAACAAGAAUUCGUUAUUCCUGCAGGGGGAGGUUAGGCUCCCAGACUACCUUUUUUCAUUGUAUUCUUGCAGUAAAUAAUAUCAGAGGAGGUUAUACAUAGUCUUGGGUGUUGAUUUUGGUAUGUGUUUGUGAUAAUUCUUUAGGUUUCUCGAUUAGAAACCUAUCAUAACAUCCAAAAAAUCUCUUAUCUUAUGUGUAUAUAAAUUCAUGUUCAUCUCUGAUUUUAUCUAUUGUGAGACUUUGUUUGUAUCCAAUUCAUAAGAGUGUUUUUCCUUAUUCAAUUUUUCCAUCUAUUGAUUAUUGUUUUGGGCAACAAAAUCUUACAGAAAAAAGGAAUAAGAAGCAACUGACCUGUUCUGAAUGAGGCAAAUAUUUCCCAUCAAAUGUCACUACCACACGAUCCUUCCCAUUCACUCCUUUAAUUUUGUCAACUGAGCAGUAGAAAUCUAUUGCUGGCAUGCUAAACAUGAGAUGAAAAAAAAAUGAUGAGAAAGAAAAUCUUCAUCUUCAUAUUUUUUAUUUAUGAUAUUAAUAUUUAUUCAUUCAUUUAUAUAGUUUGAUCAGUGUGCCUUGUUUUAUCACCUCUAACAUCAAACUCAAAAUCGUCUAAAAAAUAUACUAUUAAAAUCAAUUUUAUCAGAAGUGUAAUAUGUUAACUUGGAUGGGCAUAAAAUGAACCAAUUUAUCAGAAGCAGUAAGAAGAAAACACUGAAACUUUCCGAAAAUUAGGAUGUCUUUGUGUGUCUUGUCUGAAAUCCCCCUACAACUCCAUAAAUCAACAAAUCAUUUUAUAAUAUGAUACUUCCCUUGGCCCUAGGUUUCUGAACUUUGCUGUACAAGAGGAUUUAAUAUGAGUAUUAAAUCUUCAAUUAUUGGUGGUUAAAAUUGUUGGACCGUGAUUGCAAACAGGAAACCAUGAUCAUAGGACUAUCUAAUGUAUCAAUUGAAGAUGCCCUCUAAGCUUUUCUGCAGUUUGCCCAAGUUUCACAACAAAGAAGUCUUGAUUUAUCACCUAGCUUCAGCACAUGCUUAGUGCACAUUUAGGUUCAUAGCUUAAUACGAAAAGAUGUAUAUAACCAACUGCAAGAUCAGAAAAUAACACACCACCAGUAUAAAAGAUUUUUACACUUGCAUUCAAUAAAUUAUGUUUUGACACACUAUUAACAACUAACAACUUGACAUAAUUGAGUGAAUAUUAAAACAAGCUUUAAUUAAUCAUUUAGUUCGUCAAAUUGGGUAAACAUGAUCCUUCAAGUCUUACCCAAUCAAUGCCCAUCAUCCUAAUUCCAUCCAAUAUUUAAAUAUUUGGUAGAAUCCAAUUGGCGCAAUUGGAAUAUGAAGAACCAAAAUUGCAUAAUGGUGAUAACCUCUCACUUAACAUGCAAUUAAGCCUAAAAAAGUAAUCAAUGAAUUUGUUCAUGAUUAUACUCCCAAUAACUCAUUUCACCGUACACAACAGAUACACUUUUCCACUACAAAUUGAAGUAUAAAAAAGAAGAACUAUGAUGUAUUAUACAAUUUUUUUGGAAGAAACUUAUAUUCAUCACUUAUUACGCUACACUACAUGAUACACUUAUCGUUAGUUUGGAAGCCAACACAAAUCUUUUUACAUAAUUUUCUUUUUUAACUUUUUGAGUCUCUUUACAUUCAUCUUUUAUAUUCAGGUUGUCAUUUAUAAAUCCCAUCACAUUUAUCCUUUCUAUUCAAAUUCAUGUUAAAAAAUCUACGUAAUUUAUUUACUUAGCCUAGCUUAGAAAAUAGAACAGGUAUUCAAACUUAAUAAGUUAUUUUAAGUUGAAAUUUGGAAUGCAAAAUUGUGUCACCUAUUGAGAAAGAGAGUUUAUCUUUCAUAAUAGAUUAUUUUAUCACAAAUACCUUUCAUAAAUUAUAGUCCUUGAAAAAUAAUUGCUUGUUCCUCCAAAACUAGUUUAUUUAUUCUGACUUUCUAGACAUCUUAAAGUUCAUGCACGGUUAUAGAAUAUGAUUAUAGAAAGUUUCGUUUUGUAGAGGCAUCUUUACUAAAAUUACGAUUUGAUAAGAAUUAUUCAUAAAGUCAUGAAAAGUAUUUUAGAUUAAACUAAAUCUAUAACAAUCAUUCUAUUAAACCAAACCACCCAGUUUUAUUAUGUGGACAAAGUACAUGAUGAUAGGAAAGAAACAUUCAGGUACAGGAAAGGAAAGACAAACAUUCAGACUUGUUACAUUAGAAAAGGAAACAUGCUUCCAAUCCUAAUCUUACAUUAAAGAGAAAGAAAACAAACAUUGGAAAUGAAACCCUUAUUAUGACGAGGCUAAGGUGGUUGAUGCAUGAGAGUGAAGGCCUGUUUAGCUGACAGGCAAAAUGCCUCUAAGAACGGGCCAACCAUCAAGGAUAGGCGUGACAUCACCGACAAGAGUGUCAUCAGUUUUACCUGGGGUGAAAAUGAUUCGCACAUACUUGUCUCCUUUGAAAAGGUAAGCUUCAGACUCCUUAUGAGAAGCAAAACAAGCAUCGAUUCCAUUUUCAAAGAUGGUACCUUUCAGAAUAGGAAACCCAUCAGUGAUGUUGCGAAUGUUGCCAACAAGCUGCUUCGAAUCAUAGGCUAUGCUAACAUACUAAAUGCAGAGUCUAUGCCAUCCGCAAACACCGUGUUUCUGAGGAUAGGAAACAUUUGAGCAACAGUGGUAGGACCUGCGAGUAUCUUGUCAUUUGGUGUACCUGGAGCAUAGUCAAUGUAGGCACAGAGGUUGCCGGAAAACACAUAUGCUUCACUCGCUUCAGUGUCAAAGGAACAGUCUAUUCCAGGUUCUGCAAAUGGCGUUCCUGCAAGUGAUGGAAAACCACUACUAAUCAAACGCAGACUGGUCAAAAUCUUGUCAUCAGUUCCUCCGGGAAUAUAAUGCAACCUCACAUAAUUGUUCUUGGCGAAGAAAUACACUUCAUAUUCUCUUGAUGAACGAAAUGCAGCAUUGAUGUAAGGAAGGUUUGACAUUUUUCUUAACACAAGAAGAGGGACUAAGGUAGAUAUAAAGAGUGGAAGAGAGAGAGAUAUGAUUUGAUUAAGGGAU